ACGAAAUAAGUACUCCCUCUCUAAUAAUAGUUGUCUACUAUUGACUUGACACACCUCUUAAGAAACUAUAAAUAGAAUGGUAGUUUUACUGUAUCACCCUUUGAAUAUACUCCCUCCGUCCACAAUUGUUUGGCAGGUAUACUAAAAAUAGAUGUUCAAGAUUAAUUGUUAAUUUAAACAAUCAAGAAAUAAUUAGUCACUUUUUUCCAAUUCUGCCCUUAAUGAUAGUGUAGUUCAAUUGAAAAGUUAUGUGGACUUUUGGCAUUCUUGGUAUAGUAGAGUUAUAUUAGUCAAAUUACACCUUGUAUUAAAUUUUCCUUGAGGGGUGUGCAUGACCUUACCCUGACAAACAAUUGUGGACGGAGAGAGUAAUAAAUACAAUGUCUUGAAUAAUGUAAUAGGGAAAUGACUAUAAUUAAUGAUAAAGAUAAAUUAAGAACUAAGGGUGUGUUUGGUAUGAAAGAAAAUGUUUUCCAUGGAAAAUGUUUUCCUGGAAAACAAGUUGAUUUUUGACUUAUUUUCUCAUGUUUGGUUGGUGAGUAGAAAAUAUUUUUCGGAAAAGAUUUUUAGCGUUUGAUCUAUGAAUGAAAAAUAUUUUUGAGAAAUAUCUUUUAUUUUUACCAGACUAGAAAAUAAUUUUUGAAAUUGAAAAUAGUUUUUAAAAACAAACUUAAAUUUUUUUAUUUUUUUUUGGGGGUGGGCNNNNNNNNNNNNNNNNNNNNNNNNNNNNNNNNNNNNNNNNNNNNNNNNNNNNNNNNNNNNNNNNNNNNNNNNNNNNNNNNNNNNNNNNNNNNNNNNNNNNNNNNNNNNNNNNNNNNNNNNNNNNNNNNNNNNNNNNNNNNNNNNNNNNNNNNNNNNNNNNNNNNNNNNNNNNNNNNNNNNNNNNNNNNNNNNNNNNNNNNNNNNNNNNNNNNNNNNNNNNNNNNNNNNNNNNNNNNNNNNNNNNNNNNNNNNNNNNNNNNNNNNNNNNNNNNNNNNNNNNNNNNNNNNNNNNNNNNNNNNNNNNNNNNNNNNNNNNNNNNNNNNNNNNNNNNNNNNNNNNNNNNNNNNNNNNNNNNNNNNNNNNNNNNNNNNNNNNNNNNNNNNNNNNNNNNNNNNNNNNNNNNNNNNNNNNNNNNNNNNNNNNNNNNNNNNNNNNNNNNNNNNNNNNNNNNNNNNNNNNNNNNNNNNNNNNNNNNNNNNNNNNNNNNNNNNNNNNNNNNNNNNNNNNNNNNNNNNNNNNNNNNNNNNNNNNNNNNNNNNNNNNNNNNNNNNNNNNNNNNNNUGGUAAAAAAUUUAAAAAUUGAAAUUAAAAAUAAUUUUUAAAAAUAAUUUUUAAUAUUUUUUUGGGAGGGAAUGGGGUUAGGGGGUGGGGUAGUGGUGAAGGUGGGGUAAAAAAAUUGAAUCUAAAAAUAAGCUUCAAUUUUUUAUUUUUUUUGGGGGAUGGUUGGGGGGGUUGGUUUGAGGGUAGGGACAAAAUAAAUUGAUUUUUUCAACAAAAAAGUAAUUGUAAUUUGAAGUUGGAAGAGAGUUUUGGAAAAUGUUUUCCUUAAAAUUUGAAGGAAAGUCAUUUUCCUUAAAUUUGAGGACAAUUAGUUGAUUUGAAAAACAUUUUCCGAAACAUUUAACCCAACCAAACAUGAGAAAAUUGGAAAACAUUUUCCGGAAAAUGUUUUCCAAUUUUCUCAUGUUUGGUUGGGUUAAAUGUUUUGGAAAAUGUUUUCCAAUUUUCUCAUGUUUGGUUGGGUUAAAUGUUUUGGAAAAUGUUUUCCAAUUUUCUCAUGUUUGGUUGGGUUAAAAAAAAACAUUUUCCUUAAUACCAAACACACCCUAUAAAAUUAUCCAUAAAAUAAACAAAUAUUGUUGGACAUCUAUUUUUAUAUAGUGUACAAGUAUUAUUGGACGGAUGGAGUACAAUUUAAUGCUCACUUUCCAAAACCAUAUGUCAAAAUACCAAUUUCUAGCAACAAUCCAAAACUCAAAUAUCAAAAAAUAAAAAUAAAAUCAGCAUGACAUGUGUCCCUCCUGACAACAAAAAUUACACAAAUUUUGUGAAGGAGAAUUUAAUUCAAAACAAAGUAAAACGUGCCAAAUCCAUCUCCACCAUCUAUAUAACCGCCGGUCUCAAAUCACAGUCGACAACCACCGCUUCCGCCGCCAUUUCCACGGUUUCACCGCCGCAGGACGUCCAUUUCCAAAAGCAAUUAAAUAUGUCCACUCUCUACAAUCCUCUAAUUUUCACCAUUAAAAACCCAAAAGUCACCCUUAAACCUCACACUUCUCUUCCUUCUUCAGUUCCGACUUCUAGGCUUCGAAAAUUUCCCAAUUUCUCAGUUCAAUCCUCCAUUUCCUCAUCCAAUGACCCGGAAAAACCGACCUUUAUUACACCGGACAAUGAUAAAGCUGACGAUAAAACAGUGGAGUUCGUGGAUGAAUGGGGAGAGAAGUCGGAGCCGGAACCCGGACCGGUUACGAAGUUAGCGGAUUCGGAUCCUCCGAAGUAUGAGGAUGAGUGGGGUAAUGGAAGUCCCGGAGUUGACGGGAGUGUUGGAGAGGACGAGAAGCUUCUAGAGCUGAAAAGGUGCUUGGUGGAUACAGUUUAUGGGACGGAUUUCGGAUUUCGGGCUUCAUCGGAGAUUCGGGCCGAGGCAUUGGAGUUCGUUUCUCAGUUGGAGGCAGCCAAUCCUACUCCAGCACCAACUGAGUCUCCUGAGUUGCUUGAUGGGAACUGGCUUUUAGUGUGAGUUUUUGCUUCAUUACUUGAUUAUUCAGUUACUUCUUUUACUUUAAUUCCUCCAUUUAUUACGUUUUUUGUUGUUUUAAUAUGAAAUUAGCUGAGUUUUGAUACUUUCCGUAAGCAUGCUGGCUUUGGUUCAUCGAAAAAUGGGUGGUUUACAGGACAACCCAAAUAACAUUUUCUAAUAAACUGAUAUUGAUCUCAUGGGGCUUAUAUUUAAGGGUAAUUGAUAGUUUCAGAUAGUCAAAUUGACUUUGAUUUCAUUCUCUAUGGGAUAAGGCAUUGAUGGAAUGGGUAGUGGUAUGCUUAUCUUGAGCAUUGACACCACAGAGCAAGUUGCUCUCCCCCAAUUCUAGGUGCAUGAUAGAUGUUAACCGUACAAUGUAGGCAUUGCACCCAAAGCAGUAGCUAGAACUUUAUAGUGGGAGUUCACUAUGCAAGAUUGGUGCAUCAUAACAGUUUUAAGAGGGAGCUCGAGAUUGGCCUCUAAAUAAGCACCUUAUGAGGUGAGCCGUUAGCCGGUUACUUGUCAAUAUGCUUGCAUUCGUCUGUAUCCUCCAGUUGUUACCAACCAUGGUUAAAGACCAUAUAUUCUUUGGUUCGUCCUGUAAUAACAUGCUUUGGAUUUCUGAGAAUUCCAUAACUAAUUAGCCUGGUAAUCUGGGAAUAGGAUGAACCAAUGCUUCUUAUAUUAUUUUAAUCUUGAUGUGAUGUCUUUUCAACUAAGUAUUGCACUUUCUGCACAUUGCAAACUACCAUUAAUCUAAACAAUGUCUGCAAACUCUAAUGUGAAAUAUAUUUUACUUUUCUUCUUACCCUUUUGGCUAGUCAAACUAGAAUCUAUUCAAGAGCGCAACAAGUAUUCAUCGAAAAAUUGUAGUAGUAACUGGAGCUUGAGUUCAUGAUUCAUAUUCAUUCUAUGGUUUUCCCAUUGGGAUUUAAAGCCUCCUGGUUGCUGCUUCUAUCUUGGGAGGAAAGUUUCACUUAGCUUUGCUCCUGUUUGAGAGUUCACUUCAACAACUAAUGAUCAUGUUAUCACUUUAUCUGUCAUUAAGAUGUUCUUUGGCUAGCAUUCACUCCCUUGUAAAGUUGAAUAUGUUUCAUUUUCUACUCAUAUCCAUUUCUGGUCUUAUACCAUAACAAACAAGUUAGGUUCAAACUUACAACAUGUUGUACUGAGUUAUUAACCCCGCAUAAAGCAUGAAACCUAACCAAUUAGAGCAUUGGUUGCAUAAUAUCACCUUUGAUUUAUCAUGUUGUUACUUAAUAGAUUGACAUGCCUGCAUUUUUUGGAGCUUUCUUUUCGAAGCAGGUUCUGAAAGGAACCAGCAGUCUGCCCCUGCAUAAUCUCCAUCCUGCCAAAGAAAAAUAUUGAACUUUGCCAUCUAUAGUUCCCAAAUUUCUUCUCAUUUUAAUCAACUUCAUUGAACUAUAGGGAAGGGUUUUAACUAUCUUCCUGUGAAAAGGGGGAUUAUCUUAACGUAUAGUUGUUUGUUUUCAUUGUUAUCGUAACUCUUAUGUAAUGAUUGUUGUUGUUAUUAUUAUUUCCCUGGUUUUACUGGGAAAGUCGAGUUUUACUAAGUACUGGAAUUUUAAAUGCUUGGAAGUGGUGAUAGACUGUUUUUAAUAGUUUUGAAGUACAAUUUUAUAGGAUUAGAUAUGAACUUAAGAUCGAUGACAUUUACUAUCUUGGUUCACAUAUCACAGAAGAAAACCUAAAUGCUGAAGAUAUGCCUUUUAAAGCUAUAUUUAUAGUUGAUGUCCUGUUAAGGGUUUAUUCGUCUAUAAUAUAGAGUAGGAAAAUGGCAUUGAGGCAUAAACGUUGAUGAUACUUUGUUGUGUGCUAUGUAUUAUUAAAAGUUUAUUUCUUCAUAAGUUUCUUUCUAAAGAUUUUUGGUUGAACACAUCAACACCACCUUAUACCUUGCCAGUAAAUUUCAUUUGGACGCUCGAAGUAUGGUGUGUUUCAAUUGGGCACCUGAAUACAUGAUUAAGUAUUCCUGUUAGACUCUUCCGAUUCAAAAUUUUGAAGAAAGCUUUUGCGAGUGUUCUCAAGCUUCUAUUACAUACAUAAGUCAACUACCUAAAAUAUGUCAUCUCCUUUACUUAGACACAGUAGUCUCAAUAAGCCAUCAGGCCUAAUCAAUGUCGAUGUAUAUGAUUAAAGGGAUAAUUUUGUAACUUAGCCCAAACUUAAGGGACAAUUUUGGGCUUUUCCUCCUGAACAAUGCAACAUUUUGUUGUGAAAUUUCAUGCAGAAACUGAUUUGAAGUAAAUGAUAAGUGAUGUAUUUGCAGCAAAUAAUCUUAUUUUUCUUCCUCAAUCUGUCAGGUUCACUGCAUUUUCUGAGUUGUUACCUCUUCUUGCUGUGGGCAACAUUCCUCUGUUGAAGGUAGAAAAGAUUAGCCAAGACGUAAAUACAAACAGCUUGACUAUAGAGAAUGCGACUACAUUAUCAAGCCCUGUAGCCACCUUGUCCUUUAGUGCUACUGCCACUUUUGAAGUUCGAAGCCCCUCUAGAAUACAGGUACCCUUGUUGACUCCAUUCUAAUUUCUUUAGAAAGGUACUUGCAGCAAUAUUCUGAACAAAGAGAAAAAAAUGAGUUAGUGGUUCAGCCAAAUGUUAGUUUGGAAUUCAGAAACUAAUUAUGCAAGAUAUUGGGAAAUUGUAGAUGGGGAUUAUAGUUUUCUUGGUUAACUUCUGUAGAGUAUGUUGGGAGAUUCUUACAUUUUCCUUCUGCAUUUGGCUGACAACUGCUUACUUUUGUAGGUUGAAUUUAAGGAAGGGAAUUUUAAGCCUCCAGAAAUAAAAUCAAACAUAGAUCUGCCGGAAACUGUGGAUUUGUUUGGGCAAAAGAUAAGUCUCUCUCCAGUACAGCAAUCUCUAGGUCCUCUAGAAAACGCUGUGGCAGGUAUAGCACGAACUAUUUCUGGUCAGCCUCCUCUCAAGAUCCCAAUUCCAGGUGAAAGGACAAAAUCUUGGCUUCUCACAACCUACCUUGAUAAGGAUAUGCGGAUCUCCAGAGGCGAUGGUGGGCUUUUUGUGCUUGUUAAGGAAGGGAGUUCUCUUCUAUAUUAGUAGAGGUACCCAUCAUCCUAUAUUGUGAUUUACAGAUGCCUUAGGAACUGCGGUGGUAUCUACUGCUACGUCAAUUUAUUGUGGGAUGUAGAAUUUAACACUCCUUAGCUGUAAAUUGGGACACUCUUUUAGGACUUGAGUACUUCCACUGAAUUAUCUCAGGAUCAAGCUGUGAGAUUAGUACUAGUCGAAGUGUCUCUGCUCAAAUAAAAUGUGAAAUAGCUUUGCAUUUUCCUAUGUAGUAAGAUGACGAUUUCUUGUUAUGAGUAUUUAAUCAUUUGGGGGUCAAUCAUCAGUAAUUUCAGCUUAUCUGGAAAGAAAAAAACCUAACAAUUACGUUUAAUCUAGACUUAGCUAAUUCUAAUUUGGCAGCAACCCAUAUACACCAUAACUACCCAUGAAGAUAUCCUUCUCACUUGUUUUAGAGAAGACUGCAAUAUUGGUUCCCUUUCAUAUUACCAUCUCAACUUCCACUUACCAGUACUAGGCAACCAAAUAAUUUUAUUAUAGAGAUUUAUUUGUGAUCGAAGUGACUUGAUUGUAUAAAUAUCUUUUACGACGUUAAGUACUGUGCUGGUAAACUGAGUCUAAGAUGUGUGUGGCACACCACACUUUUUCUUUUAGGUAGAUGGAGUGGUUCAUUAAUGCAGAGUUAGCCUUGGAAGUCUUCUUGAUGAAAGUUGAACUUUUCUUUGUCCCAAAAUUUAUUUAUGAUAGUAAUAAUUGAAAUGGUUCUAGACUUUCUCCAAGUCAACAGUAGUGCUUUAGCAACCAAGUCAAAAUUGAAGACUUUUAUUUUUCACCAAAAGCUUUCUAAGAAUGGGUUGUUCAAAGAAAACAUGAGCAUCUCCAGUCAACUACAAAAUCCUUUUAAGUCUUGUUUAUACUUGUGGAUUUGAAAUUUGACAAAUUCACUAAAAUGUUCAACCAUGCUCCCUUUGGAUUUUUUCUUGUUUUGCUAUCAGAUUAUAAUUGUUUUAUUCGUAAUAAAUAAGUUAAAAACAAUUAGAAUAACAUAUCCACUGUAAUCUCACGAGUGUGAGGUUAAAAACAAUUGUUACAAAAAGUAAUAAAAAUUAGGAAAAUAAUUAUAAUAUGGAUAACUUCAAAAGAGGUUAAUGUGAUGAACCCAAACAUGGAGGCUAUUUUGAAAUUAUUCCUAAACUUAAUGAUUUGUUCAUUCAAUAGUAGAUUAAUUAGGCACAGUUUAUUUUUUUGGAGAAAUAAGUGAUUCUUUUGUCAGGUUAUAUUUUCCAAGAUCUAAAUGAUAAUACAGGAAAACUGCCUCCGUGUUGAUAUAAUAAAAAGUAUUUAAGAACAUUUCUAAGGGUUAUCGAUAAUUGACAGCUUUUAUAAUUAGUGGAUUAGUGAUCUGUUUUUUUUUUAAUCGAACAGCUCUUUUGGCAGCUGCAUUAUGGAGACCUUAAUUUGUUUUUAGAAUAAUUAAGAAAAAAUGAAUUAAUUAGUAAGUCGCACAUCACAAUUAUAUGCCAUAGCAUUAGUUAGUAGCUUCAUUUCACAUAAUUUAGUCAAUCUCACCCCACACCACCCAGCUAAUACCAACCUUCCAAAAGGUCCCUUAGUAUUAACAUAAUUCUUUUCGUGAAAUGUGUUGGAAUGGUUCAGAUCUCUCUAUCAAUAAUCAGUAUGGAGUUCGAGCGUUCUGAAAAUGGAAAAAAUUAUGUUGUGAGUGUUGCUAUAAUGCAAAUCCGAAUUGACUCAUAUCCCAAUGAACCUAAAUGAAAACAAAAAGGGUAAAGUUCCAAUCAAAAGCUACCAAGAAUCAUAAAGUAAAAGGAAAAAUUCUUUUGGCCAAAAUGGUAUUUUACCUAUGUUAUUUUACCUUUUAAAACAUUUUUAUCCUUUUAAUUUUAAUACAUUUUAACUAAAAAAUGGAAAAAAGAUCAGUUUAUUUUAAAAUAAAAAAGAUAUUCUAGUUUUUUAAAAUUUCUGGCUAAAUUCUGACCAAAUUUUCUGAUCAUUUAACAUUUAUUCAAAGUAAAAUUAUUGUCAACAACUCAAUAUACUAAAUUCAGAAUUAUUGAAUGCUUACUCACAAACUACCAAAUGUCCUACCAGCAGGCUCGCUCUUUGAAAAUUCAAUUCAAAUAGGAAAAGCCAACCGGCCAAUACAAGCCAAAAAACACAAAUUUUAUUGCAGUCCCCACGAAAAUGUCGCUGGAUUCUUCUAAAUUACCUAUUUGCUCCGUCUCAAUUUAUGUUAUAUUAUUUAAAUUUUGACUCAGCAUAAAGUUUUUUUUUUUUUUAAAAAAAGAUUUUUAAGAUUUGAACACAUUUUUUUGACUAUUUGUGUGUCUAUAAAUAAUUCAUUAAGGGUAAAAGAUAACUUAUAUAAUAAAAUCCUUUUCAAUUAUAAAAAAGUGACAAUUUACUUGAGACGGAUUUUAGCAGACCUUGAUACCAGAAGAUUAUAUAUACAUCGAUUGCUUAUAUAUAUAUUUUAUAAAUUAAUUGACCGAAUUAUAUAUUGAUAAAUAUCUUAUCUUUAAUUAUAUAUUGACUUCUCCUUUCAUAAUUAAACUUGUCAUUGACCUUGCGGAUAAUCUUUCAUCAUAACUUUUCGAUCAUUUGUGAAAAACGUUGAGCGUUGUUUCUUCAAAUUAUUUGAUAGAAAAACACAUCAUCAUCAACCAUGGGCGCUAAGGCCGUAAGGGUUCAUCUAAACCUCACACUCUAAAAAAUUAUAUAGUAUAUUUAAGAUUAAAAUUAAUAUUUUUGUAUGUGUAAAAUAUAUACAUGUUGAAUUUGUGUAACUUUUAAAAAAAAAUCUUGAAUAUGGGAAAUUCUGAGUUAGCCAGUCGGCACUAUCACAAUCUAUUUUUUGUUUGUUGUCAUAAAUAAAAUAUUGAAAAGCCAAAACAGGCCCACACGACAUGGGGAAUCUGCCAUGCCAAUCACAAAAAAGUAGUACUAGUAAUUACAAUAAGAAAUCUAGGCUGAAAAAACAAAAAGAGAAGAAAUUAAUAUUUUAUGUCUUAAAAUAUUUACGGUCCUUAUCAAAAAUAUAUACUCCUACUAGUUACUUCCAUAGUUUGCUUUUGCUGGUUUAAUAUUUUAAAAAAAUAUCUUAUUUAUUUUUACUUGUAAAUUUUAUCAUGUCGAGAAAAAUAUUCAUUUUUCAAUAUUAAUUACUUAUUUUUUGAAAUCAUUUUUCAAGAUUUAAGAUUAUACAUCAAUUAAUGCGAGUAUUACAGUAAAAUACUUAUAUUUAUUUUAUCAAGAAACGUGUGAAGUUCAAGUUACAAGUAAAAGUAAAUGGAUGGACUAUAUUAAAAGUUUAAGAUAAACUUAUUAUUUUUAUUACUCGUAAUUAUUUUUUAAGACUGCAAAUACUUUAUUAUUAGUUAUGACAAAUAAAUAGAGUGAAUAUUCAGUGAGGAAAAGAAUUUAUUCUAAGACAUAAAUAUGGGUAAAAAUAGGUAAACUUUCAUUUUAAUUAUUUCUUUAAUUUCAUAUAAGUGACACACCUUAAGAAUAUGUAGAUAUGCGAUCUCUUAGCAUAUUUUGUUAUCUCAUUUAUUGAUUGUGAUUUAAUUUACUCAUUCGGUAAGAUUGUAUAAUUAAAAAAAUUGUAAGAGUUUUCACAACUCAAAGAAUAUUCAUAUUUAUGAGGAGUAAAAUAUAACUUAAAAAUCUAAAUUGUAUAUCCAAAUAAAAUUUCAACUUAAUUUAAUUUUAUAUUUUAAUUUUAAAUUAUGAUUUUAUAUUCCAUGUUCAAAUGAUAUCAAGUAAGAAGGAUGGAAAAAGGAGUAUAUAUAUGGAAAAAUGUAAAAGAGAGUAGUUUUAUGCGAAUUAUUAGUUGGAGAACUUUUGCAAAUAACCACUAUAAUAAAUUUAAUUAUGCUUCAUAGUUAUAGUUUUGCAUAUUUACAGGUUGUAGCUACAGCUUAAGCUGCUCCGUUUGUAUAAUUCGCAGAUUUGUAUAAUUCGUGGGUACAUUUGUAUAAUUCAGUUACUUUUGUAUAAACUCGAAAUAGCAAAUUUAUACAAUUAUAAACAUCUGAAGUAUAAAUAGUUAUACAAAAUUACAUUAUACAAAAGUUAUACAAAUUCCAAAUUAUACAAACGUGUGACUUAUACAAAACUAAAAAGCUGAACCGCGUAACUAUAGCUAAAAGUAGGUCGUGAAUUGUAAUUAUGACAAACUAUAACUAUCUUAACUGAUUAACUAGUAUAUGUUUGCUUAUAUGCGUAAUUUUCCCUUAUUAGUUUCAUUCCUGAAUUAUUGAAAUUAUUAAAUACGCCCUUUAACUUGACUAAUCGAACUUAACUGCGCUCUCAAUCUUGCAACAUAAGUGAUAUACACCCCUAAAUUCUCGCUAAGUUAAGAAGUAUUUUCAACAAUUCUCUUAUCUUUUUAUUAAGAGGAUCAUGAUCCUACAAGAGUUUGAGACACUUGAUAUGUCAUGUGGUAUAUCGAUAAUUUAUCUAAAUUUAAUUAGUCAAAUGAUAUUUUUAAGAUUAUCAAUAAUUUGAAACGAAAUUAAUAAUUUGUAUCAAAUUUUCGAUAUUUCUCCUCUCUUAAAAAAGAAAAGAAAAAAAAGAGAGGGUUGACAAAGUCAUAACAACGACGUGCUUUUUCCUCACGAAACUCCCGCGUUUGGUGCCGCAACUUUUUGCCCCCCUCCCCCUACCAAACCCUUUUUUUUUCCCUUCUCAAGUCCAUUCAUUUCAUGUUUCAUCAAUCAUCAUCAUAAUUUUAUUUCUCCAAAAAAAAUAUUUUUUGUUUACUUAAAUAAAAGAGGAAUAUUGACUAUUGUAUAAACUAUAUAAAGAAACCUUUUUUUUUCUUUUCUUUCUGCUUGUACAAAAGAAACUAUACAAUCUGAAAAUUUGUCAAGUGUGUUCGUCUCAUAUGUUAAUGUGUUUGCUUCUUUUAAUAGAAUAUAAUUAUCAAUUUAAUGCAAGCAAUUUAUUAAGUCUAAAUCCUCAAUAGUAUAUUACUAGCAUUAAUCACCUUAGUACCUUAACAAAGUCUCAUUGACAAAAAUAUUUUCAUGCAAUUGUCUACAACUACUAUUGAGUAGCAAUAUUAUUUGAGUCUAAAGUUUUGAGUUACAAAUUUUAAAACAACGAGUAAUUUUUUUUUUUUUAGGGUUGACUCUUGAUAAAUAUCACAACUAAUAACCUAUAGCCUUUAUUAUAAAAAAUAUUUUUUAAAAAUAGUUGUAACAUUCUUCUUCAUUAUAGAAUUUUUUUCAUACUCAAAGCACAAAAUCGAGACGUGGUUAUGGGAAGAGGAGACCCCAUCCCCUGGUCCCAUUGGUUAGAUAACUUUCUUACGUUGAAGGAAACCAACUCUGUUUAAAGAAACAAUAUAAAAAGUCUCUUCUAUGAACAAAUGACAAUAAUCAUCUCCAAUUCAUUUGGGAGGAAGUUGUCAUAUUUUCUUUCAAUAUCAAUCCUACAAAUCUGUAUAGCUUUUCCUUGUAAUUCGACAAAUUUGGUGUAGCCAUUACCAAGUCCAAGAAAAAUAGCUAUUCGAAAGUGACACAAAAUUGAGCAGAGAGUAGUCAAAAGGUCAGUAGAAUAACAAGAGAAAGAGGACAGCACGAAUAGCAGAAAAACGAGAGAACCCAGUUGGUUGGAAAAGGGUAUCCAUUGAUAUUGUUUUUCAAGAAUAAUUCAAUCUGCAGAUCAACUGUUUGAUUUAUUGCUUCACAGAGAAAUAUGAGCAAUAAAGCACCUGUUAAGUUAGAUGAUGAGCAGUUGGCUGAACUGCGAGAAAUUUUCCGUUCAUUCGACAGAAAUGAUGAUGGGAGUCUGACCCAACUCGAGCUUGGCGCGCUAUUGAGGUCCCUUGGUUUAAAACCAAGUCCUGAUCAGCUCGAAACUUUGAUUCAAAAGGCGGAUAAAAAUGACAAUGGCCUUGUUGAAUUCUCGGAGUUUGUAUCACUCGUUGCACCGGAACUUCUUCCAGCGAAGUCCCCUUACACGGAGGAACAAUUGAAACAGCUAUUUAAGAUGUUUGAUAGGGACGGAAAUGGUUAUAUAACGGCUGCAGAAUUGGCUCAUUCUAUGGCGAAGCUUGGACAUGCUUUGACUGCUGAAGAACUUACUGGGAUGAUCAGAGAAGCUGAUACUGAUGGAGAUGGCAGGAUCAGCUAUCAGGAAUUCACUCAGGCGAUUUCUUCGGCUGCUUUUGAUAACUCUUGGGCUUGAUAUGUGAAUCUCCUUUCGGUAUAUCUUGUCAAUUUCUGUUCAUCUAGUUUAGAUAUAUAUGUUUUGUAUGUUAAUGUACUUUUUGUUGUAUGUUUUUUAGUUAGUUUACUUUCUGAGUUUCUCUGCGAAUGUCAAGGUUAUAGUUAAAUGUGAAUAUUAUUUCAAAGGAUGCUUGCUGUAUAGUUAAUGGAAUUUAAACUGAUAUACUCUCUUCUACCUGACUUUUUCUCCAAUUAAUUUGGCCCUAUAUUAAGUUUUACUGGAUUCUGUCUUCUAUGAUCGAGUAACACAUAAAUUUUACCGGAUGAAUUUGGACUUUGAAUGAACAUGAAAAGGUGAUCAAGUUGGAUCCUGGAUGUUAUUUCUUUUACCUUAACCUUUGAAUUUGUGAAUAGAAAGAGAGAAAUCUUUUUUAAAAAAAUUCUUUCCUUUAACACGAAUCAGUGAAAUCACUGUUCCAGAAAACAAGGGGUCAAGACUAUCUAUCAGUAGUUUUAGUUAUUGACUUAUUUCACACAGUAAUAGUUGAAUUUAUGAUGAACUGCUGAGUUAACAGACGGUUGGCAGCCAAUUUGUAAUGGUUUUCGACGGGAGUUUACUUCACUAAGCAAUUUUGUUACUCUUGCAUUUUCUCUAAGCUCUCUUUGUUGUGAGCAUGGGGUUAACCUUCUUCGUGUUUAGCAUAACCACAAGUUAGAAAAUUCAUACUCUUCUUCCUAAGACCAACAUAACUAAAAUGGGACUAAGACAUAGAUAUAAUGGAAAGGACAUUUUCUGGCAGCAGAAAAGGAAUAUGUAUUGCAACGGUCUGGAUGGUGGCAUAGGUAUAAGCAUUCUUUGAUUUUAACCUAAUCACGAGCCAGGAAAUGUAUACUCUCCUUGUUAAUAUUAAUGUUUCAUUAAAUGUUGUAGCGAGCAAACAGGAGAAUAGAUCGACUUAUGUUCUGAUCAAAGAAUUUCAAUUAUCUACUUGUAGCAGGCCCCUAUUCUUAGCAAAAUAGUUGGAAAUGAGCGUUGGCGCCAAAUGAAGAAGAAGAAGAGGAUUUAAGAUGCAGAGUUGGUGUUGUCGUGUGCUUACAUCUUAAUGUAUUACUUCUAUCUGUGAUGAUGCAGCAUUAUCCUAGUUUAGCAUCCGAUAGAACGUUUCUUGCCAAGAGAGACUUUUUUUGUCAUUCAUUUUCCUUUAUGAUCUAUCGUUGUACUUUCUUUAGAGUAAAUAAUAUAGUUUGGGUGAUAAUUUGCAGUUUACAUGAAGAGUAGUUUUUUCAUACAAGGGUUUCAUUAGACAUAACAACGUUUUCUUCCCAGCAUAACUAAGUUUAAUUAAACAGAAAAUAAUUAAAUCUAGAUAGGAACAAGCAACUGUUUCACUAUUAUUAGAAAGAUACGCAAUAUCCAAGUAGUAUGACACAAUUGUUUUGUAAAAUAAUAAUACAUAAGCAGCAGUCAAUAAGUGCUUAAUUACUGGAAGUGUGCAUCCAAAAGGAUUAACCCUUGUUGUUAUACCGUGAGUUUCAGGCAUCCAAAUACAUAAUAAAGCUUGCUGAAUAAAUGGAUGCUGGAGUAGCUGUUCCGGCGUCCAUCUUCUUAUAUCAAACACUUGCGUAAAAAAUCAUUGACGAUAUCAGAAACAUUACCCUGAAUCAUAGGGUAUUCAUUCAUAAUCUUGUGAUUGUAAAUCUCUAGUGUUGCGAUAAAUCCAAACUUGACUCCCAGUCAUCAUCUCUGCCACGGUGCAGCCAACGACCAUAUAUCAUAAGCUCUGCCAUGAAAAUCACAGGUCAAAUUCUGGAGGCGCGUGAAUUAAACUCCCUUGAUUGCUCAACGUACUUCCAGUAAUAUAUGCCACUCCUUUGGGAACUCUCAACGACAAUCCAAAGUCAGCCAACUUCAACUUGUGCAUCCCACCAGGUUCAGCAUUAUCGAAGACCAAAACAUUAACAGGUUUAAUAUCACAAAUGAAUCCACCCUUUCUUAUGCACAUGUUGAAUACCCUUUAAGAGUUGAUAUGGCAUCUUUCUCUUUCCUCUCUUGUAAUUGUUGAUCAAAUGAGGCCGGCUCUAUGCUUAGAAUGGUAAGCCAUUGGCCUUAGGCCCAAUGCCCAAUUUUAGGAGGCCUCAAUUUUUUACCAAGAAUAAAUUAUGUGUUAAUUUUUUUAAGAAAAAAUAUUUAUUAUUUAUGAUAAAAAGUACUCCAUAUAUAUAUAUUUUAAAUUAUUAUUUUAUUAUUUUUAACCCCGUUCAAAUAAAAGAAAUCAAGAAUAUAUUAUUUUAUUUUCUUAUACUCUCCACUAAUACUCACAUUAUUUUAUUCUUUUUAACUCUUUUUACACUCUCUUCUUUAAAUUUUUGAUAAGUUAGAGUAAUACUCUGUCAAAAAUAUGAAUCAAUAGUCGAAAAAUGUUGAAUAAAGUGAAUUGUAAAUUCUUUUUCCAUUUCUUCUUAGAUUUUCAAGCAUUACAAUAAGCAUAGAAAAUGUGGGAUAUACCAAAUUAUCAACUUCUUGAAUCAAAUUUAUGGUUCUAACUCUUAUAUUUGUUUGAAAUUUGUCAACUUAUUACUUAUAGAAUUAUGUUAACAAUUCAUAUAAUGAUUGCCUGAGUAAAAUGAUGUUUUUCAACGUUGAAUUGAUAAAAAUUUAUCGAAAACUAAUAAUUGAAAAGGAAAUCGAAUAAAUCAUUUAUAAAAAAAAUAUUAAGUAAUACUUUGCAUUUAAAAAUGUAAGAAAAAAUAUUUUUUAAAUAAAUGCAUGUGAAGUUUAUUUCAAUUUUAGGCCUUUAAUUGAGAUUUCGCUUUAGGCCUCGGAUUGUGUUGAGCCGUUCCCUGAUCAAAUCAUAGAGUGAUCCACCAGAUGCAUAUUCAAGAAACAUAUUGUAAGUUGGAAUAUUUCCACUGUCGAUGCUAACGACUGCUCCAAAGAAUUGAACACGUAAGGAGAACCUUUGAGAGUUGUCAAGAUUUGUGGACUGAAUUUGAACGACGAAUAUCAGCACAUUUAAUCGCAGCAACAGAAACACAUAACGAAAAAGGAUAUACAUCUUCACUGCAUAAUAGACUUCGUCGUAAGAGCCAGCACAAGUAAAGCUUCUGAUCCAUAAUAAUACAAUCACUUUCUUCUCACAAAUUUGUUAUUAAAUGAUUGUGAAAAAUAAUAAAAGGAUAGUUGCUUUUUAUAGAAUUUUUUUUUUCAAUUCGAUAUGGAAAGGAGAAAGAUAUUAUUGUUUGGUAACUUUUGCAUUUACAAAACACUAAAUCCAUAUUUGACAGGAAAGGGUAAAUUCCUAAAUCAAAAUUCCGAGGGGCAAGACGGUAUACACUUAUUUGUAUAUAGUUUCAAAAAGGUCUUAAAAAAUAUUCUAAAAAAGUUUUUAAAAAUGAUUCUAAAAAAGUUUCUAAAAAAUAUUCUAAUGAAUAAUCAGCGGAACAUUAUUGAGCUAAGUGCACCAUGUUGAAUGUGGAUCCACCUUAAGGUUCUCUCUAAUAUUAAUAUUUAGAAUGAUAGAAAUUGUAUAAUAAUCGUAUUCUUUUUAGUUAAAUGUUAUUAAAUCAUGUCUUAUAUAGUUAAUUCAUUUUAAAUGGGUUGGAUUUAGUAUACAUUGGAUCCUAAAUAGAUCUAGUAUUGAUUUAAAAUUUUAAAAUAUUUUUCCCUGAAAAUUUAUAGGUACCAGCACGCCGUUAAAUUGAUAUUGAAAAUAGUAUAUAUGGUUAAACUGAUCCAGAAAGUCAAUAUCAUCACAUUUAACAGCAUCAACAGCAUAAGUAGAUAAGAAAGAAGAAGGAUGGAUGUUGACAGCAUAAUAUACUUUUCCGAAAGAUCCAACACCAAGAACGUGAAGCUUCUUCCAUUGUUCCAUAAUAACUAUUAUUCCUAAUACUAAUUUGUAGUAUAAUAAUUUGUGAAUAAUAACACAGGGGAAGCAACUGCUAUUUUUAUAGUAGAUAUCAUCAAUCAUAAGUUUACCGUGUUUGUUUGUUUUGUGGUAACUUUUGUAUUAUUUUCUACUUUUUGUUUUUUGGUAAAUUGUGUUUUUUUGGAUACUUUACUAAAAUGAUGAAUCCUAAAUCGAUGUGGGGAAGGAUUUCUUAUUGUUCUUUUUUGGUAACUUCCCAUUUUCAAAAGACGAAAUCCAUAUUUGACACGGGAAAGGAUAAUUUCCCGCUGUAAUGGAAAACACUACCUACAUAUAUGUAAAUAAUCCAUCAAAAUUUCAAAUUUUGUGAAAUAUUUAUACGUGAUUAUUUAAAAGUAAAAAUAAAAGACAAGUAUUUAUAGGAUAUAAAUAUAAUAUACAUAUAUUAUAUAUUAAUAUUUGACAACCAAUUCAUAAAUUGCUCAUAUUAAAUCACAAGUGUGGAAUAAAAGAAUCAGAUUUAAUUGUUAGUUGACUUUUUAUAUUUAGUUAAGAGAAUGUCCAUAUAAUUAUUAUUUUUUAAUUUUUUAAAAUAAAAAUUCGAUUUCUGAAACCCUUACAUCGAACACUGAACCGAAGAACCGAACUUUUAAAAAAAUAACAUCGACGCCGAUCCGAAUAACCAAAUUAGUUUGGUUCGAUUCGGUUUUCUGGUAUUUAUGCACACCCCGGGCAUCACAGCACAACCCCACUCCCCACUUAACAUUUGAUUCUACUCUUUUCCUUAACAACCUCAUUUUCAAUUCUGUCAAAAAAUUCUUUGCUUUAACACGAAUCAGUGAGAACACCGUGUAUGUAUCAGUAGUUUUAGUUAUUUGGCACAAAAUAGUUGAAUUUAUGAAUGAACUGCUGAGUUAACAGACAGUCGAUAGUCAAAAAAUAGUUGUUACUCUUGUGUUUUCUCUAAGCUCUCUUGGUUCAGCAUAUUUAUACAGGAUUCAUAUAACUAAUCCUAACUAUAAUUGCCUUGAGACGUAGUUAUAAUUGUCGUGUGCUUACUUACAUCUUAAUGUAUGAUGAUGCAACAUUAUCAUAGUUUAGCAUCCAAUAGAACAUUUCUUGCCAAGAGAAAGGCUUUUUGAUCAUUCAUUUUCCUUUAUGAUCAAUCGUGCUACUUUCUUUAGACUAAAUAAUAUUGUUUGGGUGAUAAUUUGCAGUUCUUACAUUAAGACUUAAGAGUAGCUGUCAAUUCAUGAUUAAUUAUAUAUGACAAGGGUUUCAUUAGACGUUUUCUUCCCAGCAUAACUAAGUUUAAUUAAACAGAAAGUAAUUAUUAAAUCUAGAUAGGAACAAGCAACUGUUUAAUUAAACAGAAGUAAUUAUUUAGUCAUCCAAGCAUAUAAUAAGCUUGAUGAAUAAAUGGAUGUUGGAGUAGUUGUUCCGUCGUCCAUCUUCUUAGAGGGUCCUUUAUAAAACACUUGUACAAAAAAUCUCUGGCAUUCCCAGAAACAGAAGUCGGAAUUAUUGGGUCUCCAUACAUAAUAUUCCAUUGCAAAUCAUUAUUGUUGUGAUAAAUCCAAACUUGACACCCAGUCAUCAUCUCUGCCACAGUGCAACCUAGUGACCAUAUAUCAUAGGCUUUGCCAGGAAAACCACUGGUCAAAGAUUCUGGGGGCGCGUAAGCUAGAUCCCCUCGAUUGUUCAUCACAGUUCCAGUCGUAUAUGUCAUUCCUUGAGCAAUUUUCGAUGACAUUCCAAAGUCACUCAACUUCAAGUGCAACCCAAUAUGUUGAGCAUAUUUGAAAAUCAAAACAUUAGUAGGUUUAAUAUCACAAUGAACCCACCCUGUAUUAUGAACGUCUUGAAUACCCUUUAAGAGUUGAUAUGCAAAGUAACUUACUUGCUUUUCAGCCAUACUUAAUAUUCCUCUUUUCGAAUUGACGAUCAAAUCGUGCAGCGAUCCAUCAGAUGCAUAUUCAAGAUACAAAUUGUAAGUUAAAAUAUUAUUGUCGAGGCUUACGUCUGAUCCAAAGAAUUGAACCACGUGGGGUGAACCUUUGAGAGUUGUCAAGACUUGUGCUUCUUGUUGGAGUGAACUCGAACGACUAACAUCAGCACAUUUAAUAGCAACAACAUCAUGAGCACAUGACGAAAAAGGAUCCAUCUUCACUGCAUAAUAAACUUUGCCGAAACAGCCAGCACCAAGAACGUAAAGCUUCUUCCACUGAUUCAUAAUAAUAUUUUCACUUUGUUCUCACUAAUUUGUUAUGGAAUGAUUGUGAAAAAUAUUAAAAGGGUAGUUGCUUUUUUAUAAGAAAAAACUAUCCAAUAUAGUUGAUAUGGAAAAAUUGAAGGGUUAAGCGUGUUACCUUUGGUAACUUUCGGACAAAUUCCAUAUUUGACAUGGAAAGGAUAAAUUCCAUAUUUAAGUGUACCGUGGAUAGGAUAUAAAGUGAAGAAUAAUCAUACUCAUAUUCUUCUAGUUAAAUGUUACUCCCUCUGUGAUUUUUUUAGGUUUUUAUGGUUCUUCAAAAUAAUUGAAUUGUUUAAAGUUUAAUAAUUGAAUUGAAAUGUUUGAAACUUUUUUCAUAUUUGUCCUUUUCUUUAAUGAAGUUUGAUAUUUUCUAGGAGAUAAAUUGCACUACUUACAGAGUUAUAUUUAUGACUUUACAAAAAACAAUGCUGAAAAUUAUGGUUUAAAUAUGUUUUUUGAAUGUUUUUCUUAAUAUGUGUGCAUUGUCUCACAAAUUCAGAUAAUAUUGUCUCCAUCCCUAUUUACUUGUCAAAUUUUGACUUGAUACACUUAAAAUAAUGAUUGAUAUAAUAAAUUUACCAUUAUACCCCUAUUAAUUAAUAUAACUCAAUGUUAAUAAAUUGGGGUUAAUAAAAAAAAAAAAAUUAUUUUUCCUUUAAUUGUCAAAAAAAUUACAAGUAAAUAUGAAAAUUUCAAAAAGUUUCUACAAAAGAUUCUAAUGAAUAAUCACAGCAACAUUUUAAGUGCACCGGUGGUAAACGUUGAUAUGAUAGAAAGUGAAGAAUAAUCAUAUCCUUCUAGUUUUUUUUUUAAUUUUAACAAUCCUUGGGGUCAGGGACUGAGCAACCCCAGACUUUAACAUAAAUAAAAUAAAAGGGGACAUAAGCCUAACCUUCGAUGCUAUGAUGGUUCAUAAGUCGACUAGCCUACUAAGGCCUAUCAAUUUAUUCUCAAUACUAGAAAAUGAAACCUAAUUAUUGUGCACUUAGAAGAGAGGACUCCUCUCAAUACAAAGACAGUAGAAAAGCAUAAAUAAGGGAGACUCUCCCCUGCGAGAAAAGAAAACAGCCUAACCAAAACUAGACCUCUUCAGUUUUCUUCUUCUGAAACUUGUCAUUCUCAUUUUGUCUAGGUUGAAGUAACCUCUAGUGUCAUGAGGGAACUGAUGUCUUAAAUAAUCAAUUCAUUUCAAGCGGGUUAGAUUUAGGAUAGGUUGGAUCCUAAAUAGAUCUAGAUAUUGAUUUUAAUUUUUAAAGUAUUUUCUCCUAAAAAUUUACAAGUACCACAUCAUAAAAUAGAUACUCAUAUUAUUCAAGCUACUAAGUUAAAUUUAAAGAACAUACACGUAAUUAUUCACUUAUAUAUACUCUUAAAGAAAAUGCAACUUGUUUUUAUAAUUAUAAAAAAAAUUAAAGCUCAAACUUUAAGAAGGUUUUUCCUCUAUCCCAAAAUACUUAUCAUGUUUCACUUUUCAAGAAUCAAUCUACUUAAACUUUAACUAAUAUUUUAAGAUGCAUUUUCCACCAUAUAAAUAUGAAAAUAAUUGUAACUUAAUAGUAUUUUUUAUAUAUUUUUUGAAUAUCUGAAUUUAAAUUUCAAAAUAUUGAGUUAACUUAAUUCAAUUUAGCUCAAAAGAUUAAUCAAAUGGACAUUUGAGAAGGAAGAGUGCUUGCCAUCCGAGAAACUCCCUCUUGCCUCCCUCUUUCAUAUCUCUUUUUAUUAUAAACUAAUUUAUGAACACACGUUUUGCAUGUAUAUAUCUUGUAUAAGUGACAAAAAAAUAACUUAGAUACUAUUUGUUAUUGCAUUAGAGGCUACAACAGAGUAGAAACAACACAACAAUCAAGGUUGGUUGAGGCACACACAGGGCAGAAUCUGAAACGAAUGUACAAUAUUGACUGAAAAGUACUAGGUUCAGCCAAAAGAAAACAAAGAGCAAAAAUUUGAAACCAUUCUUUUCCAUGACGGCACUGAUCUAGUUAGCCUUUAUUUGUGCCGGAUAUGCAUCUUCUCCAGACGUCAGGUCCACUAGUGAAAAAGCCAAAAAGCAGCGACAAAGUAGUUAAUGGAUUAGCUUCGUUGAAUCCACUGCAAUAUGUCCGGUCGGAUCACUCCCUCAAAACCAUGUUUCGUGUGAUUCAUGGGUUUGAAACUAGUAGGCAAAACAGUGUUGAACUGCCUGUAUUGGAUAUUUGUUCCAGCUGGGCUUCUUGGUUUCAUCAUCAUGGAAAUGGUUGGGUACGCUUUCUGCCAUGUGUUUCUAGCUGAGGUAAAUAGAUGCCUGCUGCUGGAUUCCUUGUCCUUGCCAGCACCAUAUUUCUGGAAAGCUUCGGGCUUGGGGGAGUGAGAUGAGUUCCUAAGCUGCUUAGUUGCACUGGUAAUUGCAUUGUUAUCUGAGCCUCUAAUAUUAGCAGAUGGUUUCAUUUUGUCAAGCCAUCGAAGGAUCCAAUUACCAAGGUUCCGACCAGCUUCAAUAUCUCUUUCCUGUACCUUGUGAUGAACGGUCAGUGCCAUAUCAAAUGCAGCUCGUGUUCGCCUGGAAAAGAAAGAAAUAUUUGAAAAACAAUAAUACAAGGAUGAAGGAACAAGGCAAUCAAUAUUGAACAGAAAAGAUCAUGAACUAGCAGCAUCCAACAACAGGGAAUAAUCAUCCUUAGGCUAAUACCUUGAAUAUUUUCCAAUCAACAGGUAAAAAAGGUUGAGAGAAUGUGAAACUACUGUGUGUCGAAAGAGGACCAGUAAACAUUAGACAGUAAACACUUCCACAAUCUGAUCUCACUACCGUAACAAGAAAAUUGAGGAAUUACGUACUAAAUAUACCAUGGAUCAUAUAAAGCUCAGCACAGAUUCAUAUUCAUGAUAAACUUGAAUGUGUACCCGCUUCACAUCAAAUACCUAAUCAAAUUUGCCAGAAUUCAUGUCAUGGAUAUACUUCCUUGUAUCAACACACAUAAUAUUUACUUCCGGGACCUAUAUUAUUGAUUGUUGUCAUAAAGAAUAUUCACUCUCAGCUCAUCCUGCCGGCUUCAAUGCUAUAUCCAGCCUCUUCUUCCUCCUCAUAUCAAUAGUUGUUCAGGCGUGAACAAGAGAAAUUACGCUUAUAUAUUACUCAGAAUCAUUGUUUGAACAUUAUACUAUUUCAACAUGGCAUAACAUUAACAAUGUGGUGAAGAUGUGGUUAGUUUGGUCAUAUCAGUUGAGAUAUUUUGACAUCUACUACCAACUCAGGACAGUCAACUAACUCAUAGAUUUUGAUGAAGAGAAUUAUUGAAAGUCUUCUCUUCUAAUUUUAUUAUCCUCAUUUUCCUUAAACAGUAAAAGAAUCCACUCUUUAUCAUUUAUAUAUUUACUUUAAAUUUCAUGCUUAUUGGUGUUCUCAGACAUGCAAUCAGCAUCUCUAUCCAUAUCCUUGCAUCUUGAACAUAAAGGCUUUGGCAAAUCCAACACCUCAAAACACAUAAAUGAUGUAAUGUAUGACCUAACGUGCCUACACAAAUCCAGGAAAUAUAGGCCCAGUUUUGCAUGUUAAACUGAAAAGUGCUCAACUCACCACCUACAUGCAUCAUCAGCUCUAAAAGUAUUUAACAAGCAACUGUUCUUGAGAUAUAAGACGAGCAUAUAUUCCAGUCCCAUUGCUUAUAGAAAAUUUAACGUUCACAAAAUUCAAGGAACAAAAGAAAAGAGAUGUACCUGUAACAAUCUUAUUCCAACAAGAUUGUCAAAUGUCGGGGAGUCCGAGAGAUAAAACUGAGAAAUGGGACAUUAAAUCCACCAUUACCACUUACUAGAAGAGAAUUCAUUUUAAACACAAAAAGAAGUAAUAUCCAAUCUAAGAGAUCUCUGUUCAAUAGUUAGGAACAGAACAAUGGAUCUGAAAAUCCAUAUCAACAAUAUUCAAACAAAUAAGAGCAACAUCAAAUUGUCGAAGCCGGAAUAGCAAACGUUUGCCGUUUUAUUUGAGAGAACAGCAACCAUUGUCACUGAGAAUGACUAAAAACAGAAAGAUACAUGGGAAGGGUAUCAUGUCAAAAAAGGUCAUUUAGGAGAAAGAAGCAUAUAGUACUAUAAUCAAGAACCAUUACGCUGAGCUAAAAUAACAAUAAAAAGUUGAUGAAGAUAUAACUAUAAGAAAAUCACCAAGAUCACAUUUCCAGCUUAGACACCUAUGGGAAGUUCUCCUCUUGACGGACUCCUCCAAGGAAAACUUUUCCAUUUGCAUUAGGAAGAAGUGGAAAAUUUAUCACCGAGUCCUAUAGGAACUAUGCCGAAUACUAGAACAUGAAACUGCAUAUGCAUUCAAACUGGUCCCUGAAAUUGGAUGUCUGCCAAAUACGCUGAUAAUUCAUCCUAAGCUUCUCUCUUUUUUCCAAAUAUCGUCCUAAACUUCUUUUCACCUCCCGUCUAUUAUUUAGUGUCGCACUGUCACACCAUAGAAAGCCGAGAGUAGUAACAUUAGAUGAUCGCUUUUGUCGUUUCAUUUGCUGACACAUUACUCUCUCAAUCAGUUUUAUCCUAAUACCUCCCAAUUAGUUUUACCCUAUUAUUACUCUUCCAAUGUCUCCCACUGUCCCACACUCUCUUUCUCUUGUGGUUCUCCCAUUCCUGAUAGCAAAGAUAUUGCCUCAAAUUCAACUUUGUCUUUUACCCUUGCCUUUUUUCUCGUUCUUAUCCUCUCUCCCGUUGUCUUUCUACCCUCCUCCUAUCUCUCCUUUCUCCUUUCUAUUAGCCUAGUUAUUCAGUCAUUAGAUAAAAUACAGAGACCAUGUAUAUUAAUGUCCCACAGUAACCUCUCUUGAGCCUCUUACUCUCCAUUCUCCUCAUUUACCUAAAAGCAUGAGGACAAUGACAAUGGCAACCGCCGCAAACAGUCAAGUGCUAUUGCUUAUUGUAUGAUUAAUUAUGAAGCUGUUUCUCCAGAUACUAAUUUUUCACUUUCCUCUCUCUCAGACUUGCCCUGAAAUUGAGUGUAUACAUUAUCGAAUCAAUAUCAUAUUGAAUCAAAAUGCUUGUCUCUAUUUCCAGUCAACGGAUUGAUACAUUAUAUAAGCUAAGAAAAACUAAACCUAAUAUUCACAAAAAAAAAGUAUCAUUAGAGAUCAAAAUCAGAUCCAAUUCAAAUAACAAAAUACCUUUGAGCGAAAUCGCGAAGCCUGGGAUACUUUGGACUAAUAAGCUUACGCUGAAUCCUCAAGAACAGCUUGUAAGUUCGCUUCAGACCCAAAAAAUACGCCGUUCCUAAUGUGAUCUCCCAUAGAACCAUUUUCUAUCUAGAACUUUCUUCUUCCUCUAUCAGUCUCUUCUUCAGGAAAGAAGUUUUUCUUUUUUUCUUCUUCAAGUUUUAUGAGAAUAUAUGGCGUUUUCGUUUUCGUUUUCAACAAGGCAAGUUGAAAUCGUCCCUUUCUGGAUAGCCGCCAGAAAGUACCCGCAAUUUCCCCUUCUGUCAGCUUUCUGCCUUGUUUCUCUAAAUUUGGGCCCAUUUUGGGCCACGGUAGACUGGAUUUGACCCAACUAUUAUUUCCGUUCGAGAAAAUUUCGUUGGACGGCCCAUUUAACUUAGAAUAACUUUCAAAAAUGACUAUAGAUUAGACUUGAUUAGAGGUCAAUAGUUAUAGUUUGCUUAAUUAUGAUUCAUAGCUACAUGUUAGAAGGAGAAGAGAAGCAAACAAGAUUGGGAGAGGAAGGAUAGAGGCAAGAGAGAGGAUGAAUACGUGUUGUAUGCAUUGUUUCAAGUUGUAUCGCGAAAACAAUUGAUUUGUAUCAAUGAAUACAAUUGUAUCGAGUUGUAUAAAUAUUGAAAGACAAAUAUAAUUGUAUCAAGUAUAUUUGUCCCUUGUGUGUUCACUUUGUAUCAAGUGUAUAAAUGAAUAUAAUUAUAUCAAGUGUAUUUGUUCCAUGUGUAUUCAGUUUGUAUUGAUGUAUUUGAGUGUAUCUGCAAUUGAUUAUAGAUUUGUAUCAAUAUAAUCAAGUGUAUUUUGUCUUUAUUAUACAUUUAUCAUGUGGUGUAUACUUUUUCAGAAUAUGAUUGAUACAAUAUUGUAUCUAUCCGUUGUUCAAUAUGAGGCAUACUGAGAAUUUGGGUAUAAAAUCAAAGAGGAGAAGAAAAAGAAGAGAGGUUUCCACCAUCUUUCAUGUGCUUUGUAUCAUUUUAUAUGGACAGAUUAGAUUAUUAUUCAUUUUAUGUUGACACAAUAGUAAUUCUUCCAAAUUUAACUGAAUUUUUUCAUUUGUCACCGCUAAUUGAAAGUAAUCUUCGAUCUUCAUAUUGUUCCAAUUCUAAAAGCAAUAUAAGGCAAAGCGUCAGUUUAUAAACACAUACAAAAAGUUGACCACCUUAACAAACUUUUAUUUAAGAAGUGUAAGAAAGCAAAGUUCACUUGCCCAUUUUAAUUCUUUUUAAAUAGCUUUAGCUUCCACUUUAAGCAAGAAAAUGGUCCUUCUCGUUCAAAGCCCGGUCAAUUACUUGAUACUGUAAAAGCAAUUUUAUGAACAAAAUGGUUGAAAAGCAAUUUUAGUACUUUUUCGUUCUUGAAUUUGACAUCAAAAUUGAAUUUUGAUCGUGUUAUUGGAUUCCCAUAACUAAUGGUUAAAAAGUCCAUGCAAUUAAUCUUACAUUUUGACCUGUUAAUAAUUCAAAGGGUAAUAUAAUAAAAUUAUAUUUCUAUUAAUCGUUUUUUAAAAAGUGUGCAAAGUCAAUAUGGACAAAUAUUGUUUAACAGAAGGAGUAUAUGAAAAAAAAUUUAAAAACAUUUUAUAUGACAAAUUGAAACUAUCCGACCCUAAAAUGAAUAUGGCACCUACUAGGUGGGGUAUAAAAACAUCUUUCCGAAAAGUAAUUCCUCUUAUUUCGCCGACUUAUAAGCUAGUAAAGUGCACUACAAAUGCUUGUUAUUUCAAGAGAUUGCAGAUUUUAGAAUAAAUUUUCUUCUUAUGUGAUCUCUCUUCUUAAAGACUUGUAUAGAGAUAUUAAAUUUACGGUAUUGAUAAUUAAAUUAUUAUUAAAUAUAAAAAGAUAUUUUUUUAUAAACUAAAAAGGAAAAAAUAUCAAAUAAAUUAACUUAAAACAACGUAUUAAUUUGUACGAUUUUCAUAAAUAUCGGGGACUAAAGUGUCUUUGCAAUACGGAAGACAUCUUUCCAACUGUGUUGCUAGAGUUACGGGUGUUUAGCGCAAAUUAUUAAUCCCUCCAUCUUAUUUUAUGUGAUAUUUUUUUUGAUUUGACAUGGUGUUUAAGAAAAAAAAUAAAAAACUUUUACAAUUUGUUGUCUAGAAUAUUUUUUAAAUAUUUGUGUGGUUGUAAUUCAUUUAAUUAAGAAUAAAUUAAAAAAAUUAAAAUUAAAUUAUUACUAAUUACAAUAAAAUAAUAUUCUUUUUUUGAAAAGAAAAAGGAAAAAAUGUCAAAUCAAAUGAAAGGAAGAAAGUAUAUUAUUUUGUUUUUGGCACAAGUGUAUUCUCAAAUUUAAUGGCAUUAUUUGCUAAUAAAUCCCCUUACUAAUUAUUACUAAGCGACAAAUUCCAAUAAGAGAAAAGGGUCAAAUAUGUCCCUAAACUAUUCGAAAAGGUCUAGAUAUAUCCCGUUUAAAGUUUGGCUCACUCGUGUCCUCGCCGUUCAACUUUUCGUCUAGAUAUGCCCUUAUGGGCGUUAAAUGCCAAAUGGAAUUGCCACGUCAUUUUUACAUUACCACGUGACAUUUAUAUUAAAGGGAAAAGGGUCAAAUAUGUCCCUAAACUAUUCGAAAAGGUCUAGAUAUACCCCCCUUUUAAAUAAACUACCCGACCCAUUUUCAACAAAAAAAAUUCGAUAAAUCCCGAAAAUGAGUAAUUGACUAAUAAAAAUAGGAAAAAUAUGAAAAAAAUAUAAAAUAUUAACGCCAAAAAUUCACAAAUAAAUAUAGUAACCUUAAAUUCAACAAUUUCAACAAUUUUUUAAAAUUUUUAUUUUUUUCGAUAAAUCACGAAAAUGUGUAAUAGAUUAAUAAAAAAAUAUGAAAAUGACUUUAUGCUGAAUUUUUAGGUUAUAUUUUUCAUAUUUUUUAUUAAUCAAUUACUCAUUUUCGAGAUUUAUNNNNNNNNNNNNNNNNNNNNNNNNNNNNNNNNNNNNNNNNNNNNNNNNNNNNNNNNNNNNNNNNNNNNNNNNNNNNNNNNNNNNNNNNNNNNNNNNNNNNNNNNNNNNNNNNNNNNNNNNNNNNNNNNNNNNNNNNNNNNNNNNNNNNNNNNNNNNNNNNNNNNNNNNNNNNNNNNNNNNNNNNNNNNNNNNNNNNNNNNNNNNNNNNNNNNNNNNNNNNNNNNNNNNNNNNNNNNNNNNNNNNNNNNNNNNNNNNNNNNNNNNNNNNNNNNNNNNNNNNNNNNNNNNNNNNNNNNNNNNNNNNNNNNNNNNNNNNNNNNNNNNNNNNNNNNNNNNNNNNNNNNNNNNNNNNNNNNNNNNNNNNNNNNNNNNNNNNNNNNNNNNNNNNNNNNNNNNNNNNNNNNNNNNNNNNNNNNNNNNNNNNNNNNNNNNNNNNNNNNNNNNNNNNNNNNNNNNNNNNNNNNNNNNNNNNNNNNNNNNNNNNNNNNNNNNNNNNNNNNNNNNNNNNNNNNNNNNNNNNNNNNNNNNNNNNNNNNNNNNNNNNNNNNNNNNNNNNNNNNNNNNNNNNNNNNNNNNNNNNNNNNNNNNNNNNNNNNNNNNNNNNNNNNNNNNNNNNNNNNNNNNNNNNNNNNNNNNNNNNNNNNNNNNNNNNNNNNNNNNNNNNNNNNNNNNNNNNNNNNNNNNNNNNNNNNNNNNNNNNNNNNNNNNNNNNNNNNNNNNNNNNNNNNNNNNNNNNNNNNNNNNNNNNNNNNNNNNNNNNNNNNNNNNNNNNNNNNNNNNNNNNNNNNNNNNNNNNNNNNNNNNNNNNNNNNNNNNNNNNNNNNNNNNNNNNNNNNNNNNNNNNNNNNNNNNNNNNNNNNNNNNNNNNNNNNNNNNNNNNNNNNNNNNNNNNNNNNNNNNNNNNNNNNNNNNNNNNNNNNNNNNNNNNNNNNNNNNNNNNNNNNNNNNNNNNNNNNNNNNNNNNNNNNNNNNNNNNNNNNNNNNNNNNNNNNNNNNNNNNNNNNNNNNNNNNNNNNNNNNNNNNNNNNNNNNNNNNNNNNNNNNNNNNNNNNNNNNNNNNNNNNNNNNNNNNNNNNGGGGGGUAUAUCUAGACCUUUUCGAAUAGUUUAGGGGUAUAUUUGACCCUUUGCCCUUUAAUAUAAAUGUCACGUGGUAAUGUAAAAAUGACGUGCCAAUUCCAUUUGGCAUUUAACGCCCAUAAGGGCAUAUCUAGACGAAAAGUUGGACGGCGAGGACACGAGUGAGCCAAACUUUAAACGAGGAUAUAUCUAGACCUUUUUGAAUAAUUUAGGGGCAUAUUUGACCCUUUUCCCUUUUAAUAAAUAUAAAGUAUUCAAAUGGCAAGAGAUUGAGUUUAAGUGGCUAAGUGGAAUAGGUGGAUAAAUUUAGGAGGUUAUGUGUAGGAUUUUUGGGGGCUAAAGUGUCUUUGUAAUAAGGAAGGUAUCUUUCCACCUCAACGGUUAGAGUUACGGGAGUUUAAUGCAAUUUAUUACUAUAAUUAUUUUAUUUUUGUACUCUCAAAUUUAAUAGCAUUAUUAUUUGCUAAUAAAUCCCCAGCUAGUAAAUAACCUCAACAGCUGCCAAACACUCUCUCCGCUUACUCUUUCUCAAUCGCCGUUUCUCUCUCAUUCUCGAAUCUCCAGAAUCCGGCCAACAUGCAUAGACAAUCACUCGGCUCAUCGGGAUCGAAGUUACACCUCGCACAUGGAGUCGUCGUCGUCGGCGGCAGCAGGGACGAAUCCGCUGUCGUGACGGCGGCAGAAUCUCAGAAGAUAAUGACGAAGGACCAAGCCUCUCCGUCGUCACUCUCUAACAACUACGAUGAAGGAGAAGAACAAGUACGCAAGUCAAUCAAGGCUCUUAACAAGUCAUUGUCUAGAGCUGAGAAGUACAUUCACCUCAUUCCUGUUCUCACAUUUCUCUGCUUCUUCAUCCUCUAUCUCUUCUCUCACAGUCCGUCUGAUAAAGGUACACUACAUUUUAAUCUCGUGAUUCAGAGAAAAAACGAACUCGUUUCCUGAUUUUUCAUGUUUUUGUUGCAGAUUUAGCCCAAUUUCAAGGAUUUGAAGGCUUCGCCAAGCGUAUAGGUAUAUAUAAUGCACAUUCUGUUUCGCCUUUUCGCAAUUGAUUUUUUUCAAUUUAUAUUUCCAGAUUUAGUUCCAUACUUCCAUUAUACUCAAGUAUUCAAUAAAAAAAAAUCUGCUCUCAAUGUGUUUCACAUACUUCUCAGAUGCCUUGUCCGUAUUUUGUUUGCUCUAAUGAGUUCUCUUCUCCUUUUUGCUCUGAGUAUGCAGAAUCAGCUAAUAUUGACGAGUUGCACAGAGUAUUAGAAAUUGAAAAUCCCCCAGUUUUAGCGAUUCGAAGCACAAGGAACUUGCAAGAGAUUAAUAGACAGGAUGCAAAACAUCGGCGCCACCGGAAACUCGCCGAUUUUUAAGCAGCUGUCUGUGCUUCUCACUCUUCUUUAUUCUCCGUAUAUUACUCAACCACCUAUUCAUGGCGAAUUCACCGUCGGCGGAGCCUCUCUCACGUGCGUAACUCGUUUCUUGCCAAUUUUACCGUUUCUUUAUUACCACGCCUGUGUGCAUGUGAAUUUCUUAUACUAGUAAUUUUGGCUGUUUUGAACAGAAUUUAAUUAACCGGUGCAGUACUCUGUAAAUAUUUACUUUUUAUAUGAUGUACCAAAAAACAAAAUAUUCACUUCCAAGUUUUGGAUACGUAAAUGGAAAUUCCUGAGCUGGAGCUGGAAACUAGAAAGGAAAAUAUCAAAAUUUGUGUUUGUAUAGAGUUAUAAGUUAUAACAAAAGAUCAUUUGUACCGACAGUUUUUUUUUCAGUAUUAGCCAUUUAUCGUAUGUUUAAGUUGAUUUAUUUGGUCAAUCAAAACUGUAAAGUAAAAGAUUUGAUCAAUCUUAAGGAAUUUAAACAGAAUCAAUGAUUACUGAUACCGGUUUAUACUACUAGAAAUAUAAUGGAUUAGUAGGGACGAAAAUAACUUUUGAUUAGAAAUUUUGCUCGAAUAGUAAAUAUUUUUAAUUUAUAAUUCUAAAAUUAUGAAUUUAAGUCUGGAAUAGUUAUAGAUAUUGGAUAGGGAAGAGGGCUAAAGGCAAAAGGUGAGGCAGGAGUGAGACUGAUAGUAUGAUAGAAAUAUGAAUGCAGAGUGAUUGUGGAAAACAGCUGGAAAUUUCGGACCGUUACAGAUGCCUCGUGUUUCGUUUGGAAUUUCCAGCUGGGUAAGACUUAUAUAUUCAUAUGCUAAAUGCCCUAUUGCCUUCUCCCCUAAUUAAUUAAUCGAUUCUCUUUUGGUAUUCUUUACUUUCUCACCCACAAGUUCAUCUUCCCUAUGUGCUACUCUGCUUUAUUUUUUAUUCGGUGUUCGAUAUUCAUAAUUAAGUUUAACUAUUUUAAAUUUGAUUGGGUAGGGAUCCGUUCAUUGGGUACACUCUCUAUUAAAGAUUUUUUCAUAUUUAGAGCUCGAACCUAAAACAUCUAUGCUCACUGCACUACAUCCAUUGGUAAUAGCUUAGUAUACUUUUGCUUUUCUUGUGUAUAGAACACUUUUUUUUUUUUUUUAAUCAAGAUAUUUUUAACUUGAAAAUUCGGUAUAAUUUAUUAAUUUGAAUUAAAUUUUAUAUUUAUAUUUAUAUUUAUAUUUUUACUUAAAUAUCUAUAUAUUAUUCAUUUUAAAACUAGUUGUCCUACUCCAAAAUUCAUAAAUUCAAAUUGGUGGAUUCAUAUAUGUUUAUUUUCAAAAUAAUUUUUUUGAUAAAUCUAAACUAAUCUAGCUCUAAAACAAUAUGAAACCGAAAACAAAAAAAGUACACUUAUCCUUUCCCACUAUAAACUUCCAUCCUUUUUUUUGUGGCUAGAUAAACUUUUUUUUUUCUUAUUGUCUGGUAAGUGUAUUGAAGCUCAACUAUUUCGGAUUCGCGUAGAGUAAAGUCCAAGGAAGCCCUUGAUAAACCUUUUCCUCAACGUGUUGGAAGAAUCUUCUUCUGCAAUUCUUCCAUAACAUUUCAUUGUCCAUAUCGUAAUGGGUGGUUGUCCAUUUCCAUUUUUCAAUAUCUGACCGUGUCCUUUGAAUUCGUCUAUGUUUGGUAAAUUUCCCCUAUUUUUUAUUUUACGUUUGCAGACAUAUUAGAUGAUUGAAGAAUCAACCUGUGAUGUUUGGUCUAAGGAAUGACUUUAGUAACUAAAUAUUUUCAUAAAAUUAAAUGCGAUCCUUCAUAUUAUUUUAGUAACAAUAAGCUCUAAAAUUAAAUAUUCUAGAGAUCUAGUUGGAAUUUUGGCGUUCGAUAAUGUAGGUUGCUAGACUCUACUAAGUACUCCAAGUAAAAUUCUAGUAUCGUUAUUAUUCUCUCUAUUUUCAUUUAUGUGAUAUUAUAUUUUUUUAUCUAGUCAUGAAUUAACUUUAAACUUUCUAUUUUAUCUUAAUGAAAUGGUGUUGAGAAUAUCAAUAACUAAUAAAAGUGUGCUCUCUCCAACGGUUUAAGCUUUUAGAUGAGAUGGUCACACACUUCAAUAUGCCCAAAAUCUCACAAAAAAAUUUCCAAAUCAUAAAUUUAAAUGAAUCAUGAUAGAGAGAGUAGUAUUUUUGUUUGACGAAGUUUUUAAUAGUAUAGUGCUAUGUAAAAUAUUAGACACUAACAAAAGGUAGCAUGAGAAAAGUAUAUCACCAAAUAGUCGGUGGGUUACACAAGUAUUCUCUCUUCCUCAUUGUUGGUCCCAUUGAGGUUGCAAAAUUCUAACAAGCCAUUUGGAUAGGACGAAGCAUUUGUGUUAUUGAAUUAUUUAUGUCACUACCAAAACAAACCUAGCUAGCUGUCUUUAAUUCAGUGAUGAUUUUUCUGGAUAAUUCUGAUAUUUUCUUUUUAGGGCCCCUCCAGACAAAAAGGAUAUGGGAGACUGGGGACCCCACUAAUAAACUUUGGUGAUUAUAGUACCUUUUUUCUUAAAGCUGAGUUUUGCUACUUUCCACUUUUCAGCAAUUUGGAUACAGUGAAAAAUGGUCUGAGAAAGUUCCAUUUUCUAAUGUUAGAGAGAUAUGGAAAUGGGGUAGGGUUGGACAAGGCAAACUCCAAAUGGAGCAACGCAAGAAAACUUGAUGGGGCAAAAAAUUUAAUAGGAAGCUAAUGUGAGACGUAUGUAGUUUGGAUGUCCUCACCUUAAUAGUUAACUUUUGAGACGUAAUUCAGUUUUCACGUCAAUUUAAUAGGAAGGCAAUGUGAGACUUAUAUAAUCGUGGACUUUCUCACCUUAAUAGUUAACUUUUGAGACGUAAUUUUGCCUGAAUUGUAUUAAAGACAGUGCAGUUAUAUUGAGGGGUAAUUUGAAGGGAAAAUAGCAUAAAAAGUUGAUCACCUCAUAAUCCCAAUUAUAUAUUUUGGCUCUCCCAACUUUAAUAUAAGAUGUCCAUCGAUAAAAGUAUGCUCUAGAAUUUGUGAUAAAUGUUAAAAUUUGAGUGAGCAUCAAAGUUUGAUUGAAUUUCGUUAUGCCCACCAUUUGAGCCAUGAUAGAAUGUUUGAACAAAUAGGGAAAAGGACACUUAUAAACUGAAGUGAAGCAUGAAAUGGACAACAUUCAAUGUGGAUUUGUAAAGUGAGAUUUGGAAGUUGAUUAGAUUUGUCUCACUGGACUUGUUGAUCUUUUGUUGGACACUCAUAUUUCACUGUAGCAACUUUGAGACAAUUGAAAAAAAUAAAAAUUUGAGACAAUUAUAAGGACCGUAAAUAGUGAAAGAAGAAAGUUAAGCCACCUCAAGUCCCAGAGCAAAUAAAUGUCCAUGCAAGGUUAUCGUAAAUUAGCAUCAUCCUCAAUUACAACAGUCUUGAAGUUCUACGAUUUAGUAAAGUUAAUAUGUAUAAUCAAAGGAGGUAACAUGUUUAUUAAUUUGGAUAAUUGAAAAACACUAUUUGAAUUGAGAGGCUAUUAAUGUAUUGAGCUUAUUAAAUUCACGUGGAUUCAUAAAUUACGAGUGAGGUUGGUCACUGACCCUGCGCCACCAAUACCAGUUGAUAUUAUGACAUAUAUUAUGUGGAAAGUUGAGUGGCAAUGGAUAAGAUUAUAUAAAACUCAAAACUUAAUUUCCAAGGUGCCAAAUGGUAUUGGCUGUAGUUCUAAUAAUUGAAUUAAUGAUGUAGAAUUUCUUUGUAUUAUAUAUAAACUGAACCAACUGCUACGCUAUCCAACUUUUUUUCCCAUCAUCAUCAAUCAUUAAAAAAAAAAUAGCUAGAUAAUCGUGGUAGGUUGGUUAAUUAUGUCCUUGUCCCUAACCAUUUACCUUCUCUUAAUGAGGGGGUUGCAGACUUGCUGCAGUAGGAAUAAUCGAUAAGAGGUCCACUAUUAAUAUUAAGUAAUCAUUCAUCAAUUUUAUGUUGAGGUUUUUUUAAUAUAAAAUCGUCUUUAAUAAAAAUUACUUUACUUUAGAUUUCACGGCACAACAUAAAUUUGAAUUAAUUUGAAGCCAAAGUGGGUGUGGACGUUGAAUUUAAAAGAAUAAAGUAUUAAAAAUAUUUUUGAAAUUAAUGUGAAUUGUUAGUUUCGUCCCCGAAUCAUUGACAACCUUAAAAACACACAUUUAUUUGACUAACUGAACUUAAAUACACCCCUGAUCUACCAAAUGACAAUAGCAAGUGGUCUCAAAAACUUGUAGGAGGAUGAGACUCUUAAUAAAAACUCAAAAGCCAAGAGAAGUGUUGCAAACACCCUAAACUUGGCAAGAAUUUAGGAGUUUAUUUCACUCAUGUAGCAAGAUUAUGGGUGUAUUUAAGUUUAGUUAAUCAAAUAGAGAAAUAUUUUUAAGGUUGUUAAUAGUUAGAGGUGUUUUCGAUAUCCUCCAUUUAAAAAAAGAAUGUGACCCUUCCGGGUGGCCCAAUGGUUUGGGCUUGGGACUUCCAUGUUGGAGGUUUCAAGUUUGAAACCCCUUGCCAGCGAAAGCAAAUGGGUUUGCCUUCUGGGUCGAGCUCGUCGCAUCGGGCUUGCCUAGUGCGGGUUACCUCUCCUAUGUGGUUUGCGAACUAUUACAUAGGAGCAGAGGUUUUACCCUGUGCGCACCCAAAAGAUAGCGACUGAGGAUUUUCCUUGUCAUAAAAAAAAAUAAAAAAUGUGAGAGGGGUCCAUUAUCACGAGUUCAUUUCAAGGACACGACCUAUUAUUAUUUUUUUUGUAUGCAAUUUCUGGCCAUACUGAUUUUUUUGUUAAAGCUAAAAAGGGUUUGCUAUCAGAUAAGCAUCCUAUGAAUGGAGAAACUGUUUCUUUUACUUGUGGAAGGAUUCUUGUGUUUUAAGUCACAAACAUGUCACUUUCGAGCUUUUUUUUUUUGUUCAACUUUUUCUUGUUUAUCUUUAAAUUAUUUUCCAGUAACGAUGGGUGGUGGAAAUAUAAGGAAAAGAUAGAAAAAGAGGAAUUGUUUUGAUUGGUCAACACUCAAUUACCUAUACUUGAAGUAGCACAAUGUAGACCUACAGUUACUAGACUACACUAAAACUCCAAAUACUAGCUAAAAAUUCAAAUAACUAACCAAUUGAAUUAUCACAAUUUCGCUAAUUGAUUUUUUCUUGGGAAAAUUAUAUGAAAUAACAAACUAUUAAUUCAAAUUAAAUGUUAUAACAAUAAUUUAUUUUAAUUGUAAUUCGCAACAAAUAUUCCCUUUUUUUGACAUCUGAUUCGAUAUACAAUUAGUCAUUUUCGGUAUACAAUUAGCCAUUUUAUACAUUUCGGUAUAAACUAUGUUUGUGUUUGUAUUAAAGCGAGAGAAAAGUGUAUAUACAAAUACAAAUACAUAUAUUUUCGUCCUAUACACUUAUAAUUAUACAAAUACAAAUCUUAUUAUACAAAUUACAAUGUAUAAAUGAAUUUAUACAAAACUAAACAAUUUGUAUAAAACUGGAUGUCUGUAGUGAAUUAUACAAAUCAAAAGCUCCAUAGUAAACGCAAAAUUUGUUAUGGAGCGCAAUUAUGCAAACUAUAGCUAUAACAUACAAAUAUGAUUUUUAUGGUUGCUAUAUGUGAAAGUUGCUCUUCUUUCUUUGUCUCAAUUUAUACGAUACAAAUUUAAAUUUAAUUUCAAGAGUAAAAUCUGAAAAUCUUUUAUCAUGAUUUAUUUGUAUGCCUUAACAUUAAACAUUUUAAAUUGUUAAUUCUUAUGAAUUAAUAGUAAUUUUUAUGUAAUUUCUAAAUAUGUAGAUUAUUUUUCAUAAAUUUAAAGAUGGUAUGUCGUAAAAAUACACCGUCAAAACAAAGAAGUUUGACAUUUGGAUUGCUCAACUUAAUUUACUUACACUAGGGGUACCAAGUAUUAAAUGAUACUUUCAAGUUUCAUGUACUUCUUAUCCUCAGUACCUCCAAUAAGUUGACACACCAGGGACGGAACACAUCUAAUUUUCUAAAAUAUCACUCAAUGUGCAUAACUGCAUAUGCUGAGGAUUCUACCAUGAAUUUUUUCAACUGACAAAUCCGUCUGGGCCAAAACUUAGGGGUCGUUUGGUUACUGAUUAGAGAUGAAUUAUUCAUGUAUUAAAAUUAGGCAUAAUACAUAAACAUGACCCUUAACUUAACAUCAGUUGACAAUUAUGACCUUUAACUUUGGAUGUGCACAAGUAGACACUUAAACUUGUAUAAAAUUGAGCAAAUAAACACAUUCGUCCCACAUGACACCCUACUUGGCAAUUUUGUAUCCUACAUGGCAUCCUACGUGUAUUAUGCCAUGUAGGACACUUGUGUCUACUUGUUCAAUUUUAUACAAGUUUAAGUGUCUACUUGUGCACAUCCAAAGUUAAAGGUCAUAAUUGUCAACUGAUGUUAAGUUAAGGGUCAUGUUUAUGUAUUAUGCCUAAUUUUAAUACAUGAAUAAUUCAUCUCUAAUCAGUAACCAAACGACCCCUAAGUUUUGGCCCAGACGGAUUUGUCAGUUGAAAAAAUUCAUGGUAGAAUCCUCAGCAUAUGCAGUUAUGCACAUUGAGUGAUAUUUUAGAAAAUUAGAUGUGUUCCGUCCCUGGUGUGUCAACUUAUUGGAGGUACUGAGGAUAAGAAGUACAUGAAACUUGAAAGUAUCAUUUAAUACUUGGUACCCCUAGUGUAAGUAAAUUAAGUUGAGCAAUCCAAAUGUCAAACUUCUUUGUUUUGACGGUGUAUUUUUACGACAUACCAUCUUUAAAUUUAUGAAAAAUAAUCUACAUAUUUAGAAAUUACAUAAAAAUUACUAUUAAUUCAUAAGAAUUAACAAUUUAAAAUGUUUAAUGUUAAGGCAUACAAAUAAAUCAUGAUAAAAGAUUUUCAGAUUUUACUCUUGAAAUUAAAUUUAAAUUUGUAUCGUAUAAAUUGAGACAAAGAAAGAAGAGCAACUUUCACAUAUAGCAACCAUAAAAAUCAUAUUUGUAUGUUAUAGCUAUAGUUUGCAUAAUUGCGCUCCAUAACAAAUUUUGCGUUUACUAUGGAGCUUUUGAUUUGUAUAAUUCACUACAGACAUCCAGUUUUAUACAAAUUGUUUAGUACUUGUGCACAUUCAAAGCUGGAGGGCAUAGUUGUUCGUUAAAAUCAAGUUAAGGGUUAUGUUUAUGUAUUAUGCCUUAAAAUUAACAUAACUUUAUGCAUUGUUUAGUUACCAAGGUGAGAACAAAAGAUCUCCACAUAAAAUCUAGCCUACAUUGUACAAUGAUUGGUUGGGUUUUUUUCACCAUAAAACAUAACAUCGCUAAUACGUUAUUUGGUUCAUGUUUUUCUCUUCCACAUAACUAAUACAUGUAUAAAUUAUGAGAGAUUAUGUAUCAUUUUAUGCAAGAUAUACAUCAUAUAUUUACUUGCAUAACUCACCAAUUGGCCCCUUAGGACUAACAGCAUCCUUAGAAAUUCGGAGAUAAAGGGUCCAUCCCUCAGCCCUUCUCCACUUAAAUACCCCGCUUAGUUCACAUGAUGAAGAACUCGACUUAAGCCACAAUUCCCUCCACCUUUAUUAGUUGAACUAAGCCCUUAAGGCGUUCUCCCAUGAAUUUAUAUCUUGGAGACCAGAAUCAAAAGGAAGAAGGUAGAAAACCUAAUCAAGUAUAUGCAAGGUUACUAUUUGUGACUUGACUUGUCCCCUUUACUUCCAUAGUGACUAAGAGUUGAGAUCAAGGUUCAACAUAACUACCACCCAAACCAAAGGCUUCUCAAGUGAAGUUCAUGUCAUUCCUAAGUUGUGUAGAACUAAGAGUAUCAAAUAGACGAGAGAAGAAAAUGGUAGUGAUCAAAUCCUUGAGCAACGUUUGCUCAACAAGUGGGCAUGGUGAUUGACAUAGAAUUUCAAAAUAUUUAAUUUGAUAAAAAAUCUAUCUGAAUUCCUGGCAAUUAAAAAAAUAGACAAACUUGAAGCUAUUAUUGAACAAAGAAUUCUUGAUAGUCUGAUGAAAGAUUUAAAAGUAGGCAAAAGCACAUCCUUAACACUGAAUAUUAAACCAGGUUGUAUGUACUCAUGUGAAGAACGUCUUCAGGACUUCGAUCUAAAGGUUUCAAGCAAAACCCGAUUCAGAUGUUUGAAGUGUAGACUGCAACAUAAAUGUUAAAUACCUGGAAUAAUUGGGCCUUCCCCAGCAUAGAUGGAUUGAGGCACUAUAUAAAGUAUAAACACACAUGACCAAAUUUCAUCUGAUUUUCCUAUACUACAAUGUUAAAGAACUACUCCACACACUAAUAAGAAUGUGCCCUGCUUCAAAUUUGGCCAAUACAGAAUACCCUUUAAAUUGAUAAAUACUCUGCAUUCACACCCAAAGAACUGAAAAGAAUGCCAAAAGGGAAUUCUUCAAUGCCAGUAAAAAAGAGGUGCCCAGCAACCGCCUCACUCAAUGUAAAACACAAUUUGCAUGGUUAGGUCACUCACUCUCCAGAAAUAUCCUUCAAUACAAUCUAUGAAAAUUUACUGAAGUCAAGAGGGAUGUCUCAUGCAACUAACAAGAAAGAUGAAGAACCUUUAAGUGCAAAAGGGUAGGAGCACGUGUAUGUUUGUCAAGGCAUAACACAAGACUUAGAAUUUAUCUACAUGGAAAUAUCAUUGAUAUUCAUUUCAAUCAAAUUCGUAGCAGUAAAAAGCACAAAUACAAAAUAAAUCAUCUAAAAAUCUGUGUAUUGGACAUACUGUUUGCCAUUUCUUUAUAAACCAGUGGAUUGCAAAAUGAAAUGUAGCACGAGGUGGAAGUUCUCAAAGAUACUUACAAGGGCUUUCAACUCAAAGGACUAAACCUUGUGCUGGUGCAGGCUUGGCUGGCUGAUGCUCUGUGAACUCGGAAGCUAUCGGAGACUCGGAUAAAUGAACCUGUGCAAAAUCAGUAACCAUUUUCUGUCUUUGCUCAUCCUCUGUCAUUCCGACUUUCUCUUUUGUCAUCUGGCCUACUUCCCCUGCUGCCUUAGCAACUUUACUAAAAGCGCCUGCUACCCAUGUGGUCCCGGUGAGAACAUACCGGUUUUUCAUAAUGGCCGAUCCAGCGGUACUAACUUUCUGCUCAGCUGCAGAAAAUGCUGAUUUAGCUUUAUCAGAAACUUGGAGUUUCUGAUCCACUUCUCGAACUUUGUCAUUAACAAUGGAAGUACCAAUGCUUAUCUUCUCAGUGAGACCAAUUUUUUUGUCGAGAGAGGCCACUUUAGCAGUUGCAGUUGAAGUCAACUGGUGUUUCUCAUCAAAAGACUUUGCUUUGCCCACAGCAUCUUUACCUAAGAUAUAACCUUUUGCGAGCAUGCUGCUAACAACGUCUUCUGCUUUCUGAAAAGCAGAUUCUGAAUUACCAGCACUUUUCUUUGCCGUUGGCUGCAGAUCACAAAUAUCAUAUAAGAAAAGUGUUUUUUCAUGUUCAAAGGACAUGUAUGUAUUUUUUUUUUCUUUUUACCACUGAUGCUGUAAAAGCAGUAGGAGGAAGCUGGUAAACUGGAUCCAAAGUCACCGUAACAGACAUAUCAACUAUUGUUGCACCCUGUAAUAAAUACAAUCAUAUUAUUGAGAACUCUUUCAUGUUUCUAUAUUUGUAAACACUCAAGGCCUACCACAAUCUACACAUUGAAAGGGAAAAGUGAUACAGCCAUUAGGAAUAAAAUGAGAAAAACUACAAAUUUAUUUCACAAGUCUUGCCACUGACUCACUUACUUGCUUCCAGUAGAGUUCACUAUGUAUCAGAAUUUUUGAGCCCUUACAAAAGAAUUUGCAGGAAAAGAUUUGAAAGAAAAUGAAAUCAACCAGUCUGAAGAAUACACUUGUUUGCAUAAGAAUUACAUCAUAACUGUUGAGACCCUUUUUAAGAUGACUUGUCAACAUAUAAACGUCAAAUGUUACAGGGUAGAGGUCAGCAUUGGGGAUACAUGACACUGUUCUGAAAUACAGUAUAGUGCUUUUGGCAUAAUUAAUACCUCACUUGCAUCAUAAUAAUAUAAAAUCAUAACUUAAAAGAGUUUAUAUCAUCAUUUUAGGGAAACUGCUAAAGCUCACACCCAAAUCUGUGGCCUAAUGGUCAAGGAAGCUGGAAAAAAAAUUGCGAGAGACUGUUCGAUUCCCAGCAAGGGAAAAAAAGUUAACUGAUUUCUUUCAAUCUUCCUAAGGCAUGGUAGGCAAAGAUACCUGGUACCUGCCAUGGCAGGAGGAUGCAUGAUGUAUCUAGCUGAAUAGUUUAGUUUACCCCGGAUGACCCAGAAACCAGUUUUAUAAAAAAAAUUAAAAAAGACAGAAGCCAAAGGUUGCAUUGAUGCAUUGAAUACCCUCUGAUCCUAGAAAGCCCAACAAUACCUAGGAAGAGAAGGAGAACAACAUGAAUGGCCUUUCAUUUAAGCCUUCACACCCACAUGGACUCUAUGCUGACCUGAAGUUAAACCUCCAGCUCAGUGUUCAGUCUAUUUAUCAAGUGCUAGCUCGUGUUAGCAUCCCAUUGAACACUCUAACAUCUUCCCUAGAACGAAAAAGGAUAGAGAAACUACAAGUACCUAAACAGAGUUUUGGAAGUAUCUGACAAUUUUAUACAGAUCACCAGACUCAACAGUCUUUGAUGGCAAGAUAGCCUAACAUUAAACGAAUAAACGUAUGAGCAAUUGACAUUAGGAGAAGAGUUAAGUUUGUGUAUAUAGAACCUAAAAUGAGAUUCUUCCAUAAUCAACAUAAAUCAAGAAUUACUACAAUUGAACACCAUCUUUGAUCUUCCUUAUAAAACUACUGUUUCAGCCUUGCACCUCCCUCCUUAUACCUAACCUAUUUAAGCAGAACUAUACACAAUUCCAACAGCCCUAAAAAGUUUAUUUUCCCCUUUCUCCAAUAACAUUUAUAUGAUAAGUUAUCUUGGGAACACUAAUAUGGUGAGUUAGCCUAACUCACUCCUAGGGUUUUUCAAAGGGGAACCUGCAGUAAAACAUCUGCCUUAUCAAUCAAACUCUCAUGCUUAGAUAAGCAUUUAAGUGAGAACCUGGACUUCUGCAGAUGAAAACCGAAAGCAACAUCCCCAAUGCCAGGCUAUGUAGUAGCACUAAUUUCAAGAAUUUAAAUUAGCUUAAAAAUUUUAAAUGACAAAAAUAAAAAACUAACUAAAUGAAUACAUACAAUGGCCUCGGAUAAAAAGUUUUUUGUCUAGCAAUUGCAUCGUCAAUUAGCUUAAGUCAUUACUUCAUAUCUUUAUACAGUCAAACAUAAAAUAAAAAUUAUAUGUACAUAUAUAUAUACACAGGUUCGUUACUAGAAAAUGAUUGUUCUAGCAGUGAAAAAUACCAUCUCAGUCUCAUGCUCAAAUGACAAAUAGUAAUUCGCCAGGACAUUAAUGAAGAAAAUAAUCAUGAAUACCACUUGAUAUAAAUACACAUAGGAGGAAGCAUUGUUGCAAUGGUUAAUCUUCAGAUUUCAGAUUAUCAGCUUGAUGUCCCAGCCACAGAUAAGCAUAAUGCAAAGAGUAAGAGAAACAAAUUGUAAAAUUUGACUGAUAGGGAGAACGAUGAUAACCGAAAGAAGAACUGCAGUGUCAGCUCCCUGAGAAUCAUUGAACGUAACAUAUGCUAUUUGACUUCGUUCAGUAUCACUACAAAGUAAGAAAAAAAAAAUUAAAAAUUGGUGUUAAUGACAAACUAAACGAAUUCGCUUAAAGAAAAUGGUAAACAACCUCAAGAGCUAACCUUUGCAUCUCAACAUAUUCAAUAUCACCAGAGAAAGAAAAGAAUUCCUUGAUAUCACGCUCUGAUGCCCCUAAGGAGACAUUGCUAACUUUAACAGUUUUCACCUGCUCAGGAAAGCACACUGUCAAGAGCUUGGGAAGACAGUCUCAUUUUCAACAUUUCAGUUAUAUACGUAAUUCACAAUAAGACAUAUUUGGACAACAUUUAUCAUCUUUUAAAACAAAAUAGAAAAUGCAAUAUGUUAAGCCAAACGAUCAUGCAAAGAUGUGUAAUAGUAAUUUAAAAUGAAAAUUUGGGACUAUUAGGAAUAAGAUAUGAUAAGAGAGGUACUUGACUUGAAACUUAUCAGCAAAUGUUUGAGCAUUAGGUUGAUUGAUUCUGAUUCAAUGAGAAAUUAUACCCGUUUAUUUUGAUCCCUUUCCGUAAACUAAUUAACAUACUCGCCCAACUCCACUGCUCCUAUUCAACAUGUAUUUUUCCAUUUUUGCUGCUUGACAUUGUUAGAAAUGUAAUUUAGUGAUAGUUUAUACUCUUUCUUAUCUUCGUUUUAAAUUAGAUGACCCCGACUUAUUUGGGACCAAAGCCUAGUAGUUAUUGUAAUACUCUUUCACACCAAGAGCAAAGUAAUGUUUUCUGAACGAGUCAUUUUACAAGAACAUCUUGAAAUUGCAAUUAAGAUUAUCAAAUCAACUUUUAUUUGAUAUCUCAUGUAUGAAAAUGCCCUUGGCCUUAAAGAUGUUGUGCAUCCACCGGUGACUUAACAUUGCAUAUGAAGAUGUUGGUCUAACUUCUUUGGUCUCCUUAAGCACAAAAUUUCACAUAAUUGACGGCACAAUUUAGGAAACUAGCAUGGAAAGUAGCAAAGCUAGUUUUAUACUUCGCUAACUCAAAUUUGAGGAUGACCAAUCUUAUCCCCUCCAGCCUCUCCUUCCUAACACACAUAUGUAUAUAGGAAUAUGAUAUUCCUCUUAUAAAAAUAAAAAAGUGAUCUGGCCUAGAAAUAGUAGUCAAAUUAUCACAGUUUGAGCCAGAAAAUGCAUGUCACUAUAUUCAUAACCCAAACAAUUUGUUUUUGUAAAAGUUCAAAUUGUUUAUGCAAGAAUUGUUGAUUUGCAUGAUCUACAAAAUAGAGGAUUCAUCAAAUUACAAUUAUUUUUAAGCUGGCUGGACAUCAGAUUUUUUUUAUAUACAAGUACAUGAAUGAUACAGCCCCAAAUAGAGUUGACUAAAUGUAGAGGAUCUAGUCGACUCCAACUAGUUUGAGAUUCAUACUUAGUCAACUCAAUAUGAUUACCAUAUUAAUCAAAUGCAGAAUAUGUCGCAUAUAAGCCAGAACUCCGAUAGUACACAAUAUUUGUUCAGAUGAAUAAGGCAUAAGACUAACAUUUUCCAGGAUUUUUUUUUUAACUAGUCAACUUUUCAAUACUUUUAUACCUAUCUCAGCAAAUUUGCCAACAAUGUCGCUUAUACUCCUUUUGAUCGCUUCAACUUUGAAGAUUUUAAGUGAAUCAAUAACAAUAUACGACCAACAUAAAUAUUUCAAAGAUACCUAAAAAGCUAUAUUAGCUUAUAAUUGAAGUAAUUAGAUACUUCAAAACAUCUCAAUAUCAGAGCUCAAAGAUAGUCGUAGCUGAACUUCAACAAACGCAAUCAACAGAAACAACAUCCAAAACUAUCAAAUCAGAUGAAUAUACGGCAGAAAAUUCAGUUAAAAACUUAAAAAACAAAAUCGCAACUGUAAUGCUCAAAAUGUAGCUUAUAAUUGAAGUAAUUAGACACUUUAAAACAUUUCAAUCUCAGAGCUCGAAGAUUUAAGAAGACAGAAAAAAUCGUAGCUGAACUUCAACAAAGGCAAUCAAUAGAAGCAACAUUCAAAGCUAUCAAAUCAGAUGAAUACAGCAGAAAAUUCCGUUCAAAACUUGAAAAACAAAAUCGCAACUGGAAUACUCAAAAUGUAGCUUCUACUCACCGACAUCGCAACAGUUCGAUGAGAGAUCGGAAAAAAUCAGAUGUUGAAGAGAAUGAAAUGCAAUGGAGUAGAGAGAGAAGAGAGGAUUUAUGAGGAUUUUGGAGAGGAAGAAUUGAGGGUUGACGGAGUUUAGAGAAUGGAGUGCCGGCGAGAAUUAACGGCGUUGACGGUGGUGACGGGUGAACUUGCUCAACAUUGACGCCACGACUGAAUGCUCUUACGUAACUAAUAAAGUAGAAGAUAAUUUGACUAGUCUCUUUAUUUAAUACUACUUCUCUUAUACAUCACAUUAAUACUUUUUCCCAUAUUUAUAAUUUAGAAAUAAAAAACGAAUUAUAUUUUAAUUUCUUAAAUAAAAACUAUUUUAAACUAUCUAUUUUUAACAAAAACAACUAAAAUAGGAACAACCCUCCAUCCCAAUUUUUUGUAGGGUUAACACUAUGAGAUUCAAUCAAGUUUUUUCGUAAUUUAAAAUAUUUAUAAAAGUAAGUUAAAUUAAUAAUAAAAAAACUUAAAACAAAUUUCUUUUAAAACAAUUCAAGGGUAAUAGGACUCCGUGAAAUAUAAAUGUAUAGUGAAGAAUUUGAUAAUAGAUUGAGGGGCAUGACUAUUUUCUCUUAUUUCCACAUUUUGACACUUAAAUUUUUUUUAAAAUGAAUACAUGUACAAAGUACAAGCUGUUUUUUUAAUAUUGAUAAAAUUCCCAUCUAAGGAAAAUUAAAAUUAAAAACAAGAGAUUUAUAUAUUUUUUGUUGGAGCAAAAUGUAUUUAAUAUUAAAAUGAUAAUAUUAAUUUGCAUGAGUGAGUGAUAAAAGUGGACACCAUUUCUUGGUGUAAGUUAUGUAAUUAAGCCAUAUUUUAUCACUUAUUACUGCACUAAAGCUUAAAUAUUGUAAUCACUACAUGAUCUACCUCAUAUCCACUACAACCUCAUUUACUAGAUGAAUUAAAUACUACAUUUAUGUAAAUGUUUUCUUUCAAGUUUCUAGCCAAAAUCAUCUUUAAAUUAUAUCUCAAUCUUAAACUACAUCUUUAAAAUAUUUUUUUGACAGAGAACAUCCUUUAAAUAUUUAAAAAUUAACAAUUUUAAUCCUUUGGUUGAAAUUUAUCAGAAAACUAUCAGAUCCCAUAAAAAUCAAGUUAUCGAUUCAUAUUUAUUAUUCUAAGAUACACCAAAAAUAUUAUCAUGAACUUUUUCGAUAAUUGAGUUUAGCAUUUUGCAAAAUCUUUUAAUUUGACAAUUUUUUUAAUUUAUUUUUCAUGUGAUUUAAUAUUUUAAAAAAUUAUCAAUUGAAAUAUGUUUCUUCUCAAUUGAAUCUGCUAGAAGCGGUGUUUGUUGGAGACUUCCAAUAAUGGAGAAUGAAACUCAAAUGCGAGACACAAUCAAAAUUUGAUCACCUCAAUAUCAGAUUGCCUAAAAAAACUAUUGAUCUAACUACAAUUUGACUUUGAAAAAGGUGAAGAUAAUUAAGCUCUAACUUUAUUGUUUUUAAUGAAAAAAGGAGCAGAUUAUGUAUUCUCAUACCUUCCUAACAUUUUUUGUUUCAGAAAGUAUUGGUGUCCAAAAAUUAUAAUAUUCUUUUUUUUCAUAAGUUUUUUAUAACAAGUAAUGAAAUUAUGCCGAAUUUUUUUGUUGAUAGUCACGUGAACUGCACAUGUUUUUGUAGGAUCCCUUAGUUUUUAGACAAUAUAUCUAGCAGAAGGAUGAAAACUGUUAACUUUCAAAUACUUGGAGAAUGUUUUCUGUCAAAAAAUAUAUUUUAAGGAUGUAAUUUAAGUUUAAGGUAUAACUUAAAUAUGUUUUUGGCCAAAAAACUCUUUUCUUCUUGUGCUGUGAAGAGGAGAAAAAGAUGACAAGUUGACAAAUAUUAUAUUGCAUUUGCAUUUUGAGGGUACUAGAGUAGUGAAAGAGAGCUAAGACACAUAAAAAUAUUUAAGUCUUCAAUUUAUUUACUAUUCAAAAGAUAGUAAUUAUAUGUUGAAAAAAUAUAUUUUUUUAGUAGAGUUUUGAAUUUUUCAACUAAUCGAGAAUUAUUUGAGUGAUACGACACUAUUGAAUAUACCACUGAAUCUGUAUAGAUCAAUAUAUAUUCAUACUCUCACAUGUCUCAUAGCAAAAUAUACUUUCCAUCCCAAGUUGAGAGUGAGCUUUCUAGGAGCAUCAUGAACCUUUUUGAAUUUUUAAUAAGGAAAAACUACAGAAUAUAGCAAACAUUAAUAUAUAUUUAAGGUAAAUGGCUAUAGUUCAUUCUUUUUAUGUUUUAUGGAUAUAAUUAAAUGUUAAAUAGCAAAGUUAAUAUUACACUCAUAAUCUAUUUUUUUUUUAUUUAAAAAAAGAUUAUAUAUGGAUAUAAAUAUUCAUUAAAUAGCAAAGAUAAUUUUACAUGCCUAAUUAAUACCAGUCAAACAUGCUUUACGAUGCUUUACUCCCAUGUUUACCCUCUUUGCUAUUUCUCUUUCACUAUCACCAAUUUUUUCUCCAAUUUUCUUCCAAUUCACAAUUCUUUACUUGAUUUUCAUGAGCAAUUUUCGUGACAUAUCUUCAAAUAUCCUCUAUUUGCAUUUUUUUCUCGUUUAUAUGAAAUUUGUAUUUGUAUACAUCUUGUUGAAAGGUUGAUGAGUUCAUUAGUUGUAUUCAUAUGUAUUACAUGAAGAACGUGAGCAAAAAGAGUUUGAGGAUUGUCUGAUUUUCAUUUUUUAAUAUAGUGAAAUACUUAUAUAUUUGGAUACUUGUAUUGUAUUAUAUCCACUUGUCAUUUUUUUUNNNNNNNNNNNNNNNNNNNNNNNNNNNNNNNNNNNNNNNNNNNNNNNNNNNNNNNNNNNNNNNNNNNNNNNNNNNNNNNNNNNNNNNNNNNNNNNNNNNNNNNNNNNNNNNNNNNNNNNNNNNNNNNNNNNNNNNNNNNNNNNNNNNNNNNNNNNNNNNNNNNNNNNNNNNNNNNNNNNNNNNNNNNNNNNNNNNNNNNNNNNNNNNNNNNNNNNNNNNNNNNNNNNNNNNNNNNNNNNNNNNNNNNNNNNNAUCCAAGCGGAUAGGGACGUAAUCAUUAGUUUUUAAUUUAAUUAUGGAAAGUUGAGAGUUUUAAAAACGUAAUUAGGGGGCAUUCAGUCACUAUAACAAGAGAUUACCUUAUUUAGUGCAUUGUAAUUAUAAUUGUAUCAUUGUAUAAAUAAAAAAAAUUGAAAAAAAAAUACAAAUAUACAGCAAGAUUAAGACAUAAAAUGUAGUCAUUUUUUUAUAAAUAGCAUACUUAUAGCUAUUGAAUUUCAAUAACCCUACAACUAUAGUCAUUUUUGUAAGUUGCUCUUUUAAUAAUUCCAAUUCCAAACAAAAAAAAGAGGUUCUAUUGUAGCAGCAGUAGCUUCCUAUUUUGUCUUUCGGAUAGACUCUUUAAGUAUUGUUCAUUGUCCUAGGAUAAUGUAGCUUCGUAUGAUGUUCUCUAUAUUCAACAAUAUUUGUGUACUCCAUUAUUUUAACUAGAGUCAAUUUGAAGCUAGCCUUUUAAAGUAAAGAUAAACGGUUCUUAAAUAGAGUUUUUUUUAUCUAUGCCUUAAUGAAUAAAGUUAUUUAUGUCAAUGGAAGGUAACAAAAUAACAAUAAUAUUAGUGUAGUUUUACAAAGUAUUUUUUACGAAUUUUAUUCUGAUAAAUGAUUCGUAAUUUAAAGAACAACAUUUUAAAGUAGUACAUAAAAAGAAAUAAUGAAAGUAUAAGAAAAAAACAGAUAUAAUAAUAAAACAACAGAUUGUAACAAAAUAAUACAAUAAUCGAAGCUCGAAAUAAUAGAAAUCAAAGGACAAAAAACUACAAAAAUAAUACUACCAAACUAUUAGUAAGGAUGAAUAUCAAGACAAUACACUUCUACCUAAUAACCUUCUUCGUUUCCUCCACAACCUCUCAUCUAAAUUCUAAUUAAACGAAAAAUAUGUCGUAUCAUAUUUAAUCAUCUCUUUCUAAUACUUCUUCAGUUUAUCUUUACCCCUCUUAAAAUCAUCUAUAAUCAAUCUCUUAUUUUCUCUUUAAAUAUUCUCAUUUCAAAUUUAUAAUUUUCUAAUACCUACACAAUCGCAACAUUUCAUUUCCACGGUGAGAUAAUUCUAAAAAUUCGGUUGCGUCGUGCGUCACCGCUUAUUUGAUUACAUUAGAAGAUGUGUUGCAUGUCUUGUAAACAAUUCAAAGAUAAACAGCUAAAUAUACAAAGUACAAACGCAUAAAGCUGCCGACAAUAUCCAGCUGUCACAUUAUAUAACCACCAGUCUCGCCGGCCAUUACAUGGCGCUGAUUUAUUACUAUUCUAUUCAAAAAUAUAUCCCGCUAAACCUAAUCCCCCACCACCCAACACAUAUCAAAUCAUUGUGUCCCUUUCUCACUAUUUAUUUUCUCCAAAUAUAAAAUGUUCUUUUAACUUAACAAGAUAUUUAAAUAAAAAAAAUAUUUUUGAAAUUUAUGUUCUAAAUUAUUUUAUUAAGGGAUAAAAAGGAUAUUUUUAAUAGUAGUAAUGUAUCACUCCCUCCGUCUCAAUUUAUAUGGUUUACUUUCAUUUUUAGUCGGUCUAAAAAAAUAACAUAUUUUUAUAUUUAAUAACAAUUUGACUUUAAAAAGUCUAGGAUAUCCAUAAUGAAAUGAUUUACAAAAACACAAAUAUAUAUUUUAGACCAUAAGUUUAAAAAGUUUUUUAUUUCUAAGUCAAACUAAAUUAUAUAAAUUGAGAUGAACGGAGUAAUAUUUUUAUUAAAAAAACGCUAAAUAAAAAGGUUGACACGGAAAAGGUGAAGUAAUAAAUAAAAGAACAAUUUUUUUUUGUUCCUGCAAUUCCUCCCUCAAUUCACGCCAAAUUUUCUCUUUCUUCCCUUACCCCAAUAGUUCCAUCUCUUUGCUCUCUUUCCAAAUCCCCCAAAAUUCUAGGGUUUUCAUUUUUCUGUUGAAUUUUGGAUCGGUGCUUUGUUUUAGUUUUUGGGUAGAGGUUCCGAUUCCUGGAUUUUGUGGCAGAAUUUUGGGGGAUUCCAAUUGUAUAUUAGGAGAAAGAGAUGAGUUUUCAAGAUCUUGAAGCGGGUCGACCAUUGGGGCCCCGUAGAGGGUAUAUGAAUGGUAAGCAAGACCCAACUCAAGCUGUGGCUUCUGGAAUUUUCCAGAUUAACACUGCUGUGUCGACGUUUCAAAGGCUGGUCAAUACACUUGGAACACCCAAAGAUACACCCGAGCUGCGUGAGAAGUUGUAAGCUCUCGAUAUUUUGUCCUGAUUGUGAUAAAUUGAAGUUGUAAGCUGAAUGUUUGGGUGAAAUUCUGCAAUUUUUAAUACAGUUGGAAUUGCAUGCAUUACUUGUUGAAUUUGAUGUUUUGUGGACUUACUGUAUUGUCAAUUGAUGGAUUAAUUUUGAGACAAGUUUAUAGCUUUUGUGGUGAUUGAGGUCGUACAGUAGCAAUUAUCAUUUACUGAGAUAGACCGGGUCAACUGAUACUGUUUUGUGGUAUUUUUGUUAAGUGAUUUCAUCUUUAACUGUUAAUUCGUGAAUUUAUAACUCAUCCUGUAUUAGUUUUAGCGUACACACACACAGUCAGAAAGAGCAUUAUACUUGAAACUUGUGUUCUGCAUUUGAGGAAACUUUUGAGGAAGGCCUCAGCACAUGGCACACGCUAAAAAUGAUGUCUAAAUUAUCACUGAACAUGUGCAAAUGAGUUCUUCUGAUCACUUUGAGAGUUUUGAUCUAGAGAAAAUCAGUAAGCUUGCAAAAUAUUUUAAAUCAAAAUUUUAGAAACCAUUUUCAGUUUUUUUGUCCACCUAUACUUCUUCUGGAUGACUGGGAGGAAUAUAUUGUUCAGUAUAUGGUUCUGAUGAAUGAUAAAACAUGUUUUUAGGCUAACUAUAUACAUGUUGUGGGAAGAAGUUUGAACUUCAUGUUCAUGUGCCUUUUAGAGGGUUAAAUAAGGCUUUGCUCUACUACUUACUCAAACUGGAAUUGGUUUACAGAAAGUAUUAACUAGUGUCACUUUUCAAAAGAAAAGGGAUUUACUAGUUGUAUGUUUGCGCUUAGACUUUUAUAUGGACAAAUUCUUUUAAAAUGUUGCCACCCUACUAUGUUCGAUAUUGAAACUUCUCUUUGUGUGUGCAUACGGUGUUUAUUGUGCAAUACUCUAAAAAAGAAAAACUUUUAAAACUUGUGGUCCAAAAUGAAUAAUAGAAAUUUGUGUGACUGUGAAUCAUUUCAUUAAGGGUAAAAUAGAUAUUUUAUAGUUAAAUUGUUACUUAAUAUAGAAAUGUGUCAUUCUUUUUGGGACUGACUAAAAAGGAAAGUAAGUCACAUAAAUUGGGAUAGAGGGAGUAUUCAAGUUGUUGAGUGAGUUCUUACCGGAAGAGGUUUGCCUAUCAUUGCCUCUAGAAUGGGACUGUGGUUGAAUGUUGCGUCACUCAUUCCCAUGUGAAAAGUGAAUAUAAUAUGAUUCACCGCAAAAAAGUGGGGUGAGGACUGUGGAGAAAUGUGAUAUGUGGCAAUCAUGAAUCGGACAUGUUUUAACCAUCACUUGGACAGAUUCUAUAGUCAAUACUACCUUUCCGGUUCAAUUUCUGUUUUCCAGCUUGGUGCUGCAAUAAUGAGAUUCUGUUGUAUUUCAGUUAGCCAAAAUGUGGCUUUGCUGUUAUCUUGUACUAAUUAAUACUACCGAUUAACACUGACUUAAAAAGCUUAGUUUCACUAGGGAAUUAUGCUAACUUUCUCAAGUACAGGCACAAGACGAGGGUACAUAUUGGGCAGUUAGUGAAAGAUACAUCUGCAAAACUUAAGCAAGCCAGCGAAACAGAUCAUCGUGUUGAAGUCAGUGUAAGUAUUAAGAGCUCACCUAUUUCCUCUUCCCCUUUGUGUUUGCCUUAGUCAGUAUGGAUUUCCAUGACAUAUAUUUGCAGAAUACACAUGCUCUUUGUCUUCUGUCCUCACUAUAUAUAUGAGGUUCUCAUCAUUUUGUUUGAUUAGGCUUAUGUGUACUUCUUGUUCUUCACUCUUUACUUUUCUCUAUGACUAUUAACUAUAAACUCCUGCUUUCUUCUAUCAGGCUAGCAAGAAAAUUACAGAUGCUAAACUUGCUAAAGAUUUUCAAGCAGUCUUGAAGGAGUUUCAAAAGGCUCAAAGGCUUGCAGCUGAGAGAGAGACAGCGUAUACACCUUUUGUUCCCCAAGCAGUUCUUCCUUCUAGGUAAGUUUUUCCUGAUGGUACUUCAUUAUAUGAAAUUUCUGUCAGCUUCAUAAAAGUAUGAAAUGUUUAUUAGAAACCUGAGUUUAUCAACACAUGAAAUACAUAUAAGCAACGUCUCCUAGGGCUUUUGUGUGGUGGUAACAGUGCAACAUGGGAUGUGUGGUCAAGCGCAUGUUGGGGGUCCUAGUAUUUAAGUGGAGAACAGUAGCGGGGUGGGCACAUUAUUCAAGUAGUUUCGGACCUUGCGCUGCAGGUUCUCUUUCAUGGUUAUAAAGAAAAUAAUACGUAUAAGCAACUUCUGCCUCAGACUGCAGGAAUGAUAAAUUCACUGUCUCUUUAGUUAACAAUCUCAAAUGAAAUGUUUUGCCAUCAAUUCUCAUUUUUGGUUUGGUCAUCUUUUGGUAAACAGUUAUACAGCCAGUGAGAUAGAUGUUUCUUCGGAAAAGAGUCCAGAACAACGGGCUCUCCUUGUGGAAUCAAGAAGGUCAGUUAGCUGAUCAUGUUCUUGUGAAGAUUUAUUUAAAUUUUGUGCUUAUCUGUGAGAUUGUUAAUAUCAUAAAUUAUCAAAUUCAGCUAUGCAUUAAGUUUAUAGACACCAUGAUGAUUCGAUUAAUUCGUUCGCUCUCUCCUUGUUGGCUUGUUCAAAGUGUGUGCUUCUUCAAAGUCACACUGCUCAACCUGUGCGAAAGUGAUAACCAUUUAUGGGUGAUGAUUUUUGUCUAUAAACAGAAUAUAGUGCUGGUGUGGACGUUGGUUUAAUGAAGCUACUUAUCUACGCUUCCUUUAGUUGGUCAUAUGCUGAAGUCAUAUUUGUUGAGUUCAGAUGCAUUAUAUGGAGCUAUUUUUGUGAUGUUGUGAUCUAAGAGUAGUGGUGUUGCCUCAUCAGAAGAUAUAUCCUCUUUUCUUCCUAUAUUUAGUAACUUCUAUUCCGUUGUGCUGCAGACAAGAGGUUUUACUUUUGGACAAUGAGAUUGCCUUUAAUGAAGCCAUCAUCGAAGAAAGAGAGCAGGGAAUACAAGAAAUACAGCAACAAAUUGGUGAAGUGAAUGAAAUUUUCAAGGACCUUGCUGUGCUUGUUCACGAGCAAGGAGCUAUGAUUGGUAGGUCACUCUUGUUUUAGUAUUCCAAAUUUCCAUAUGAAUGUCCUUUGAUAUUUACAAUUCUGUUUUCUGCAGAUAAUAUUGGUUCUAACGUUGAGAAUGCACAUGCUGCGACUGCACAGGGGAGAUCGCAACUUGCUAAAGCUGCAAAGACCCAAAGAUCAAAUUCAUCUCUGGUACUUUCUCACAUUUGACCAUUCAUCUUACUGAUCAUAGAACUCUAUGACUGGUAUGCUUAAGCAUUCUGUGUGUGUAGUGGCAGGCCUUUUAUUAGUUCUUUUGAACUUGAAUGAUCGCUUAUAAGCCUAUUGGCUGAAGUCAAAGCUUUAAUAGGUUUAUGAUUCUGAUACUGACCAGCUACCACCUAUUGUAUUUUUAUGGUAUACUUCACAUUAUUGCUUUAUUGGAAAUAAGAAAAGGUGAAAAAACAGUAGGACCAUUUAGAAGUUGGUGAGUAGUGCUUUACGUUUGGGAAUAUUUUAAUUUAUACCUUCUACAUUUUAUAGUAUGUUUGGUAGAGUUGAUAGAAGGUCUAAAUUUGAUUAACAUGCCGUCAUGACAAGUGUUCUCACUGGGCAUAUUCACUGUGAUGGAAUGAUAAGAGAGGGAAGUCAUGAAAGGACAGGCAGUGGUAGGUUUCAUCCUUUUGGGAUACUUUAGAUGGUUCCUUUUUUAGAUCAUACAGUCCAUUCUAUUUUCACAUGGCCCUUAUAUCAAAUCCGGUUGAGAAACCAGUCAUGUUGCUUAUUUUCUUUCCCUUCGGAGUACCACUUCUAUUUUUUAUACUUUACAUUCCUUACACUGAACAAUAUAUGCUCUGUAAAUGAUUUCCCUAACUUAUAAUAUUUUCUGCAGACUUGCUUAUCCCUGGUGAUUUUCGGAAUCAUGCUCCUCAUUGUGAUCAUAGUACUUGCAGCCUGAGCUGAAGAUUACUGGGAUAUAGAAAAGGGUCCCGAACUCUGUUCAGAUACAGAAGUGAGUGCUUUGAUUCGAAAAAAAGUGACUCUUGUGAUUCGAGUUCUUUCAAUAGGCACCCUGGAGUGUGGCUCGGUUGUCCCAAUCCUUGGUUCUUCUAGUCAUAGUAGACAAGUCGUGUAGUUAGGGAGGUGGGAUAGCAAAGAUUCCUGUUCAACUUGUAAACCUGGUGCUGUGUUUGCAAGAUGUAUUGCUGCCAUGUAAUGGUGGGUCUGUCAAUAACAAUUUAUUUUUGUUUGAGGAGCAAUCUCUUAUAUUUUCCCUUUGGAUACUCUUGAACCAGAUGACAUUCAAUUCUUUAUUGAUGCUUGUGUGUGUGAAGUUAUCACUAAUGGGAUAUGUUGAUUUGUUUAUCUUGUUUGGUGGAUAAUCUUGCAUGAGAAGUUUCCUGCUUCUAUUUCUUGUAUGGCAACCUGAUGUGUCCGUAAUUAUAAGAUAAAACUUAUGCAUCCAAGGGUUGUGGCCCCCUUGUGGCCUAGUGACCAAUGAAGUGAGAAGAAUCAUUGAGGUCUUAGGUUAACGUCCCAAUUUAUGGCGAGGCAGGUGAAGUUUGUUUCGGACUAUGAUCUACUUUUGCUGAAGUUUGGAGGAGAUAAUAUUUUCCAUUUUAUGGACACUGAAGGUCGCUAUUGAUAAGUUUUCUUCAGUCUCAAAUCUGUAAUUCUGUAUAUAUUUUUUUUCAUUAUAAGUGGCAGUGAAAUCACAUUAAUAGGGUCAUUUGUGGCGGUGAAAAUUGAAAUAGUAUAUGUAUCCAUCAUUGGAUGUGUUCGUGUUGUAACUAUGAAAGCUGUACGUAUAAAUAUAGUUGAUCUGAGAAAUUAGCAAAUGGCAAAAGCAGCAAUACACUUAAAUACAUAGCAGAAACAAACAGCGUGUGUCGGGUUGUUUUCCUUCAUCGUGGCAGCGCAGAAACCAGUCAGGUGGAGCAAAUUCAAUUCUAGAGAAAUAACCGGUGUCCCAGUGGCUCGCAGUAAGUCAUGUUUCAGUCAUUCAGUGAACUCUUCAACAUUUGGGUCUACCAAAUUUUCAUGUUUGCUAAAGUAGGAUUAUGUAACAUAUAAUUUAUCAAGAUUAGGUGCAUGGUCCUGAAGAAGACGGGGAAAAUGUAAAUAUGCAUUGAUAAAAUUGAGUAAAGUUUUAUUGGCAACACCAAUCUGUUAACAGUUUUCUGUAAAUUUGAAUAUUACUAACUCCCAAACUGCAUAUAACGAUGAAUAAUUGCACAUCUUGAGUAUAAUGUUAAGACAUUUAAUUGUUCUAAACAUAGUCUAUUACCUCAUAUUUAUGCAAGUUGUUUAUAUAACUGAGAAGAUGGAUCAUCAGGUAUUCAUUUCCAUGUGAGGAGGCAGCAGUGAUAUCUAUGAAGCAAAGAUAAUGGGGAUAUUAUUUUUAUAGAGCUUUAUAUGUACCACAUCGGAAUAAGAUAAUGUGUAGACAGCCGAAAGCUGCUACAUAAACAAAUUUUAAUUCAGUUGUUAAAGCAUACCUUUCUCGGCCUUUUGGCUAAGAUCAAGUGUAGUAUCUGUUCUUAUCAGUUUAAUAUCUGAUAUGUGGGCCAUUGGUUCACACGAUAUUAACUCAAUUUUUUAAGGGGAAGAGUCCAUUAAGGUAGCUUGCUGCCUGGGCUCUUGUGCGUUGCCCAUGCGUUGCACUACUGCACGGGCCUGGCGCACCCCACCAAAUGUAGUACAAUUUUUUUUCAUUUUAAUGUAGUUCUCGUUUGUCUUGUUUUUUCAUAAAUUUUAUCAAUGUCACAAUUUGUCUCUAUUUGAAAUUUUGAAUACUUAGUUAGCAAAUUUCUUGUGUGAAUAGUUUGUUGAAAUCACGGUCAAACUGAUUUUAUGCCUCAUGCAACCAGGAUAGUUCACAAACCAUAGCAGGAACAGAUAUCAAUCUUAGUUUCCAACAAGCUAUCACUUUCUUAUUGUGUGCAUACAGUAGUUUUAUAGAUACAGCCAAAUCUAUGAACAUGAAUCACCAAUAAGUUGAAACAGAUCCGAUAUACUUUGAGAAACGAGGUGAAAACCAAACGCAAUCUAUAAACAUUAACCAGCAAUAAGCUGAAACAGAUCCGAUAUGCUUGAGAAAUGAGAUGAAAACAAAAUGCACAUGUCAAACAGAUCACUGAAUCAAAUAGCAAUCUUUUGGAGCAUGAACACAGCUAGAAACAAACACUACGUUAGGUUCAAAUCUACAAAUCCUGGAAACAGCAACAACAUGAUUCUGCUGAAACAAACCCCCAUCCCACACACAAACACACUUUGUUAUGAUCCUAUUGCAAGGUAUGGGACUUAAAUAACCUUGGGUUCUCCCAUCUUAAUUACUGGCUUUUAGGGGGUGGUUCUCUUAAGGUUGUAUCACACGCAAAAAGAUGGGAUUUAAAGGAACAGCUAACCAGAGUUAUCAUAUUUCUUCUUUUCUGCUUUUGAGAAGUGGUAAAAACACCACUGGUUAUUGAGACAAAUAGAAAAUGCAGGCAAAAUGGCAGACAACAUAGAUUUUGGUUCUUGCUAUGACAUAGCAUUUGCGAGUUUCCAACCUUCUCAACACCAUUCCAGAUAUUAAUUAAUUAACCUUGUAUACAAAUAUUUCUAACUUAAACAAUACACAUAUUAUGAUUGUGUCAGAUAAUUGGAUUCAAAUCAGUGACCAACAGCAAAAACAAAACUCUUCACAUAAUAAGUGAUUUGAGAAAUUAGUAAUGGCAAAGCAUUUCAAAAAAUAGAUAAGCAACGGCCUAUACUGAUAAAGGUUACCUAACAUUAAGUGAGGUUCUCUUGCCAAUGGUUAAUCCAAAAAGGGGAAAGAAAAAACUUGCUUCGUUUAUCAAUUACUCAUGAUUGUUUUAAGACAUUACUUGCUGCAUUAUCAGAGUACUUAAUUGAGGCAACAAUGAUGAGAAGAGCUGAUACAACAGCUGAGAUGAAUGUAAUAGCAGAUACAACUUCAGUGUGUUCUCGAUUUCCACAUGGUACUUCCCACACAAGCUGAGUAUCAAUUGAUUCAGCAUUCUGUUUGUCUAGCAGAAACAAACAGCCCGUGUCAUCUUCUUUUCUUUCAACGUUGCAGCGCAGAAACAAGUCAGGUGAAGCAAAUUCAACUCUUGAGAAUCCAUGUCCUAGUGGCUGCCAGUAAGAAGCCGGGAUGUUACAAUAAAGUCGAGAAGCUUAACAGAUGUACAUGGCUUCCUAGAUAAUACAUCUUUUUUUGUACAAGUAUCAACUUAAACUUCUGGGGAGUAAAAAUGACUGACUACAUUGGAUGCCUGAAACGUAUUUUAGAGACUCCGACAUAAUUUUGGGAAUCGUUUAUGUGAUGUACCUGAUAGCGUGCAUGUAGAGGAAGUUCCAUGUGUAUUUCCAGUUCAUCCUUCUGUUGUGAUGUUAAAUUGGUACCCACUUCCAGAUGAACCUCAACAAGCGAGCGGUUUGACAGAAAAGAAGGCAACUCUAAAUUUGUAUCUCCAAAAACGGCAGCAUCCCUGAAAACUACAACAAAACGUGGACAACAAUAAGCCUCAAAAUGACGGGUAGCAGUGUUAGAAACCCAUAAAAUCUAAUACUUAGUAAUUUACCACCACGCUGCACAAGGUGUUGUAGCUCAAAAGGAUCUGCAAAGACUCCAGAAGGCAGUCUUUCAACAAUUAUAACCUCACAAGAUUUUGGAGGCCUGGAAAUGGACUCUGAUGACAACUUCAAUCUGAGAGUUGAUGACAGACGUCGAUGGGAGCCUUCACCAAUCAGCUUUCCAUGUAAAGCAGACAGUUUUAGUGAAAAUUCGACGUUGCCUUGCAGUGAUACACAUGCACCGUACAGUAUGUCAUGUGCAAUGAAAUCUUCAAACUUUGAAUCUACCAAAUUUUCAUGUUUGUUAAAGUAGGAUUUUGCCACAUAAUUAUCAACAUAAGGUGCAUGCACCUGAAGAAGAUUGAGAAAAAAGAUAAUCUGGUGAAUAAUGGAAAGAAGUUAAUGAUUGCAUGAUUAAAUUGAGCCUAAGUUUUCUUGGAAGUACCAAUCCAUUCACAGUUUUCUGUAAAUUCGAAUAUUACUAACACUCGAACUGCAUGUAUCGAGAAAUAAUUGCACAUCUUGAGAUUUUUUAGCAGCUUGAUUACUUACUUCACUUAAUACUGCAGUAUUGAGACAUGAGCUGAUCUUAGCAAUUUGUAUCACUGCGAUGACCAUUGCCAAACAUCGUGCCAGAAGAUCAUGAAGUUCCAUUGUAAAUCUGAGAAGGUCAUGGACAUUAGGCACCGACCACAUUACACAUGAGAGAUAUUACAUAUUUUAUACAUUUACACUUCUGACAACAAACAAUUCUACCACAACUCAUCAGAUAUUACCACAUUAGUUGAUUUACUAUUGAAAGAACUUCCUCAUCUAUACAUAACUUCCCAUAACUAAUAUAGAUUGAAACUUAUGAGAUGCAACUCAAAAUAUCAUUGUGGCAGGACAGAGGCAAAUAUAUAAUUGGUUCCACUCUAAAAUACAGCUGAAGUUAUGCUAAGAAGAUGUUUCAUGAUAAAAGGGGAGAUUAAUUAGAUUAUUCAAGUUAGUUACAUAAUCAAGAUGGUUAAUUAAGAUAAUGAAGAUGUGCGCGUACAUAUAAACCUCUUAUCCGCAUUCUCUUUUUCUCUCUCUCCUUUUCUUCAUAAUUGUGGUGUCCGCACCAGGUUACGCAGCUCGACUAAUUUCAUGAGGUACUUGCUUACUCCCACAAGCACAGGCACCUGACACCUCUGCUUGAAUUUGAACUUGAGAUAAUCUCAUGGUUCUCAAUCCACUUUAUUACUUUCAUGCUCGUCCGUUUUGGUAGUAACUUCUUACGAAUGGCUUAUAUUAUACCCAAUUACAGUAACAACAUUCAUUUCAGUUCGAUAUUUAGUUCUUUGAUAACAAGAUUGAAUCGAUUGUGUUUCCUAUUAUUGAUUUCAAUCCCCAUCUCAACAUGAAACCCAACUCUUUCUUCAAUCUUGGCUCCAAUAUAAAAGAAAAAGUUUACCAUGAUUUCAGUUUAACAGAAUAUUAUUUUCCAAAGAACAUCAACAUAUUAAUCACGCCAAUAAAGUAGCUGAUAAAUAGAGAAAAUAAAGGCAAUAUCAUCACAGUCUACAUGAAAUAGUUUUCCUUCAGAAAAAAAAAAGUAGCAGCAGCAUUACAAUAAGAUAAAGAUUCAAUUUUUAGGGUGAAAUCCAUCAUUUCACUUCAAUUUCCAGAUGUUAACAGAAGCUUCAUCAAUCAAAUUGAAGCGAAAAAUUACCAGAAAUGGAGGAGAUUCAGAUAACAAUGAGGUUAACAAUUUGAAAGGGAAAAAAACCCAGAAAAAUUCAAAGCUGAAUUUGAUGAAAACCUUACCAGAGAUAGCCUCUUACUGGGAAAUUCCAAUUACUAAUUUCGUUUCAAUUCAGCUGAUCUGCGUUUUGUAGGGAGAAAGAAGGAGGAUAACAAAUCAGAUCCUAUACCAGUUCUUUUUUUUUCUUUCCUAUUUUACUUUUCUUACUUAUUUUUCUUUUGGAUUUUAAAUACAUCAAUAAAAUUAAAAGAAUUAAAAAGAAUAUUAUUUUUAUGAAGUUUUAUAAAUAAAAGGGAAAAGGGUCUGAUAUACCCCUCAACUUUGUCAUUUGGAACUGAUAUGCCCCUCGUUAUGAUAGUGACUCAUAUAUAUUCUUACCGUUAUACAAACGGCUCACAUAUACUCCUACCAUUACAAAAUGAGCUCACAUAUAUCCUUAAUUUAACGGAAGUGAAAAAAAUAGCUUUAAAUUUAUGUUUUUGACUUUAAAUAUAUGAUCCUUCUAGCGAAUUUCAAGGUAUAUUUUAAUCUUUUUUAUACAUAAAUUAUUUUUUGACGUCUUUGAUUAUCAUUUUUUGAGUUUCUUAUUCUUAUUUUAUUUUUUUUCUUUCAUUCGUUAGUGUAAAGAGAAAUUUUUAAAACUAAUUUUUUUGUGGCUAUAUUAUAAUUUUAAAAUAUUUUUUCCGACUAUAUUGUUAUUUAGUUUUUCUAUUGAAAAAAAUUGGGUCAUCUAUAAUAAAGUUUACAAGAAAAUUAGUGAAACAUAAAUAAAUUUGACCAUCAAAAUAAUAACUUUAAAUUAGUCGUUGAAACAAAAAAAGUAAAAAAAAAAUAUGUGUGAGGAGUAGGGGUGUUCACGGUUUGGAUAAAAACCGAUCCAAACCAAAAAACCAAACCAAACCGAUAAAAUAAAACCGAUUUUAUUUGGGUUUGGUUUGGUUUGGUUUUAGAUUUUUGAGAACCGAUAGUAUUUGGUUUGGUUAUGGUUUUAUUUGAAAAAACCCGAAGAAAUAACCGAACCGAACCGAUGAAUUAUAUACAUAUAUUUUAUUAAUAUACAUACUUAAUAUAUUAUUUUUAUAAACAAUUUUAAAGAUCUUAUACAUAUUUUCAUUAAAAUUUCUUUAUAAUUUACUUAUUGAAAGCAAAAAUGCCCAAGAUGAAACAUUUAUCUUAUUGAUUUCAUGUAUAUGAGUGUCUAUGUCAAUUCUUUGUGGGACUGAAAAUGUUAUUGUCUCUUCCUUCUAGGCCAAUAUAGUGAAUUUUAAAGCUUUAUUGAUAGUAAAUUUAGUGAUUGAAAGUUUACUAAUUUAAGUCAUUCUAACUAUUUUUCGUUUUGAAUGGAUUGUUGUCACUUUUUUCACAUUUUAAAUGAAUUGUUUCUUUUAUUUUUGUGUAUGGUUAAUAACCGAAUAACCGAACCAAACCAAGCCGAAACCGAUAAUCACCAAACCGAUAAAUGUAUAUUAUAUUUGGUUUGGUUUGGUUUUGAUAAUUUUAAAACCGAUUAAGUUGGUUUGGUUUUGGUUUUGACCAAUAACCGAUCCAAACCAACCCCGUGAACACCCCUAGUGAGGAGGAUUAAAUAUACCCAUAUGGGAUUGUAUUUUUUUUUUUUUUAAAAUAAUUAAAAUUAAUUUUUUUACUUCCGUUAGAGAAAAAAGGUAUAUGUGAGCCAUUUGUAUAGUAAUAGGGGCAUAUAUGAACCACUUUCAUAAUAAGGGGUAUAUCAACUCUAAUUGAUAAAGUUGAGGGGUAUAUCAAACCCUUAAUAUUAUAUAAGUUCACGGAAAACGUAUCCAAUAUUUAUGGGAUUCAAUUUUAAACGAACCUAAAGUAUAUGGAUUGCCAAGUUCCAUUUCAUUUUAUUCCUAGACAUAACAUUUCAACGCAACUUCACAACCAGUUAACUUAUAAAUUAUGUUAGAGUUAUUUAAAUUUGAUAUUAAGUCUCUAUAUUUUACAAAAGAACAUCAAAUUUUAUACUUCAUGAGCAUUGAGACGUAAUAAUGAAAUGUUAGUUUCUAUUAGGUAGAUUUUAAUUAUGUACAUUUAAUAAAAGUCUGAGUCUUUACUAUUCAAAUUUCAAUUAUUAAACAUAUUUUUAAGUAUGAAUUUUAGUAAUUCAAAUCCUAAUCAUUUGAAGUAUAUAUAUUUUUUAUUUUAUUUACAAUUACUUAAUGAAUUUGAGUAAACAUAUACGUGACUAAGAUCUGCAAUAAAAUCGUUAAGAUGAUACAUAUUUAAAGAUUUUAGUAAAAACGCUAUUUCAUUAUCAGCUUCUUGCACCAUUAAAUAUUUGACGGAAACUAAAAAUGUUAACUUGUGACAGAUUUAGAUACUUAAAGGACUAUUUUGAAUGCUAUCUCAAACAUAGGGGAAUAGUUUUGUCAUUUCUCGAAAAUUUAAUUUUAUAGCGUAUAUAUAGGGUUUCGGGACUCACAAAUCUAAAUUUUCAGGCGUAAGGAGGGAAAAUGAGCACCGGAAGUUCGCUGACGUCGUCACCGGCGAGGUCAUCGAGUUCGACGAUGGUGAUGAUCGGAGGAAAUGUAGGGCCGUCAUCGUCUACAGCUGUUGAUGACUUCAAUUUUCCAGCUGAUCUCAUCUCCGUUCAAGACCGCAAAGACGAGGCUCUUCAAGGUCAGUACAAUUUUUCGCAUCUACUUUUUCUUUUUGCUUAACGUUUUUAGUUUAUUAGUUAUAAUUAUAUUUGUUUUCAUGUUAUAAUCUGAUUGCUUGUAAAAAGAUGGAGUAACUUAUUUUGCAAAACAGCUGAUUAACCUCAAGCUAGGCAUGAACUCAUGAUUUGUACUGUAUGUUGACUAUAUGACUAAUUGAUUAUCUUAAGCUAUUGAAUAUUUACUCUAGUCUACAAAUUUUAUUGCAAGAACUUGCUUGUGUAUUGAAACUUAGCAAAGUUAUGCUGGUAGACAAAGCUCUAGUUUUGGGAGUGAUAAUAUGUUUUAUUAGUUGGUGGGAAAUGUUGAUAAAGCUCAAUUUUUAGGUGUUAUACUUCUGUGUAUCAUCAGCAUGUCUAUAUUGUUCUAUAUCUAGGUUCCAGUGAAAACAAAUAAGUUUCAUUGGUUUUAAGUGUUUUUUCUUACCUUUUUUAUGUGACUAGUUGGUUAAACCUUAUAGAUCAUUUUUUUUCUUUAGUAGUAAAAUGAAUACUUAUUAUUAUGAUUCAGUGGAUAGAUUUUAUUAUGCAAUAAUGAAGUUGUAUUCCCUUAUCAAAAGUUUUUGUAAGGAAACUGUGUCGUAUAUCUAGAUCGAUCUUCUUUUUAUAUAGGUAGUUUUAAUAAAACAGAUGAUGAGUGCUGUCACUUUGUUUGUAAGAAGUAAAAAGCAAGUUGGAGGGCCAUUUUUAUAACUUUUGUUGCUCGACAGUUUUAAAUUGUUGGUUUAGAUAUACACUGAUUAAUAAGUUUGAGUAAAUUCACUUGUUAAUAAUGAAAGUGAGUGAUUUUACUCUGUCUGAAACAAGUCUAAUUUUGAAUGGCUUCUUGUGAACUUAGAGGAGCACCAUAUUUCUGAUCAAAUGACAAAGUAGCAACAAUGUUUGCAUAGAUUAUCAGGCAUCACACCCUGGGCUAUAUGGGUGGAAAUAUUAGGGAUAAUGUUUCAAAUAUUCAAAUAGGUGAAGUGUGAUGGUGAUUUGGUUUAUUCUUGUAGAAAUCAGGCAAUGAGAAUGAUGAUUGUGAUUGUGAUUGUGAGUGUGUUAAUCAUUAGAAGUAUGAAUGUCAGACUGGUUAUCAAAGGAUUAAGUUAGUCUUAUAUUUUAUGUGAGGAAAAUACUGGCACCUUUUUUGUUGUAAUUGGUGGAAAAUGCUGAAAGCUCCUUUAAAUUUAGUGACAUUGACUCCAUUUUUGCUGGACAGAAGACAGACUGACAGAUAUAUUAAGUGACUACGUCUCUUAAUUUCCCUUCAAAAUUAUGGAUGUUGGUAAAGCCAUGAUGUUUUAAAAUUUUCUGAAGGAAUAACUUAGAAGCCAAUCGUCUACUGGUUUAAUUUCCAUUUUCCCAAGAUGGAAGUAAUAGAAAUUGAGGACCACCUAACUGAAGACACCCUGGCAACUCUCAAGUAACGCAUGUGCCAACAUCAUGUUAAGAAAUAUUCAGUGUGUUUCCACUCACCCAAAAAAGACUUAAAAAGUAAAAGCUGAAACAACGUGUUUUAUUAGGAUCCUUUUAAGCAUUGUGCAAUGAUUGAUGAACCACACAUCCGAGAGAUCAUUGUUUAUCCUAUCAGAUUUUUGUCUCUUAUAAUCAUUGAUAGAUGUUUUCUAGCAAAGAAAUAUUUGUAAAUCAUCCUACUUUUUCGUUAAUUCUUUUUCAACUUUUGACGAGAUGGUUAACGUCAUGCAUGUAGAACAGCCUCUGCAUCCUAAAGUUCGUUUGAUAAACAAUGAAGUAGACAAUAAGUGCUCCUUAUUCGUAUGUGAAAGUAAAUGUAGGUGAAAAACUAAUGCGAGCUGUAUUUCAGAAGGUUAUAUCUAUUAUAUUGAGGAUUUUUCUUUUUUGUGGUAAAUCUAUUAUAUCAAGGAUUUAGCAUGGUGUUGUAUAAGGUAGCAAGAUACUUAAAUUUGUGCCUUAUACUAGGUUUCUCAUUUUUAUAUUCUCAAUGCUACACUGUCUUAUCUGUCAGUACUUCAUGAAGAAUACUCAUAUUUGUUAGUUGAUAACUUUUAGUUGUUGGUUCAGGUAUAUCAGAUAACUUGUGAUGCGAGAACCUAAUAUUUUUUGGAUUAUUGUUAAGUAAACUGUUAUCAGUUCCGUGAGCUUAUUUUCUCAAUUUUAUCUUCUCGUGCCACUUACUUCUUGAGAAAGGACCUAAAUGGUUCAUGUGACUCUUUCUAUCUGAUGGAAAAAAGCUUUUGCCUUUGUUUUAGGCCAUCAGUACAUGGCUCUUAUAAGUGGGAGCUUUAGGGUAGCAGAGCAGUGUCACCACAGAUUAAGCCAAUUGAAGUUCUUAGCUCUAUAAAACUUGAUGACAUAAUUGUAAAUUAGGCAAACACCAACCAAAACAGCAUGAAUGGUUCUUUACCUCCCCUUUAGAAUAAAAUAACAUCGCUUGCCAUUAGUCAAAAAAGUUAGGCCUCUGAAUUUGGCUUCUUGGGUUGUUCAAAACCAUUUUUUUUAUCAAGCUGAGAAAGGCAAUGCUAUAGUCUUUGCCAUAUUUUCUCCCGUCUUAUCAGUGUAAAGUUGGAACUACACUAGGUCAAUGAUGUAGCGGACUCUUUAUCCGAGAAAUUUUCAGUUGUUAGCUGAUGAUAUAGUUUGUUUCAGUUUUGAUUCAGAGAAUUAAUGUUUUCUUUGUUCUGUUUGCAGUUCUCAAAUCUGAUCUGAUGGCUUCACUGAACAAAGAGGUUAAAUCCCUAGACGAAGAUAGCUGGAUGUUUGAUGGACCUAGGUCUCGUAUUCACAAGAUUUCUAGGCCAGGUAGCUCGCGAAGAGCAAAAAUGAUGGUAUCGUUCAUUUAGGGAACUUGAUGAUCAUCUUCUUUUCAUGUAGGCGACAUGAUGAUAGUGUACCUGAUGCAUUACUACUGUGCAUUUACAGGUCGUCUUCAUAAACAUGUAGAAGUUGGGAAGCAGAAUUCUAAGUUGGCGGCCACAUUAAAAUGAGGAAUUAUUUCUUGUGCAGAAUUGCAAUAUAAUGUAGUCUUUUAUGUUAAUGAUUUGUACUACUAUUUUUUUACUGUAAUUUUUGCUGCAAUGAUUUUCCAGAAGCUUGAAUUCCAUGUGAGAUUUGGUUAGAUUUAGGAAAUUACCCUUUCCGUUUCAGAUAUAAAUGUGUAUUGUAUUGCUAAUGUUACUACUUAGCCAGACGAGCGAUAGCAACUCUUAUUUACUAAUAGAUCGAUCGAUCUAUCCACGCUAGUAUAGAGAAAAAGAAUAUAAUCAUCCAGAGAGGACAUAUACACGAGAUAAUAUAUAUAUAUAUUUUAAUCCCCUACAAAGGAAAUUUAAAAUGAAAAAAUUGUAUGAAAUAACAAACUAUUAAUUCAAAUUAAAUGUUAUAGCCAUAGUUUAUUUUAUUUGUAAUUUGCAGCAAACAUCCCAUUUUUUUGUCAUCUGAUUCGGUAUACAAUUAGUCAUUUUAUAUAUUUCGGUAUAAAAUGUGUGUGUUUGUAUAAAGCGAGAGAAAAGUGUAUAUACAAAUACAAAUACAAAUACAAAUACAUAUAUUUUCGCUUAUACACUUGUAAUUAUAGAAAUACAAAUCUUAUUAUACAAAUUACAAUAAAUGAAUUUAUACAAAACUGAACAAUUUGUAUAAAAUUCGAUGUAUCUAGCGAACUAUACAAAUCAAAAGCUUCAUAGCAAACAUAAAAUUUGCUAUGGAGUGCAAUUAUGCAAACUAUAGCUAUAACAUACAAAUAUGAUUUUUAUGUUUGUUAUAUGUGAAAAUUGCUCAUUUAAAAUCCCUUCAAAGUCGAGUUUGUUGUUGUUAGAGUUCCGUGUGAGCUGUUUUCUCAAAAUUGGAUUUUAAAGACUUUAUAUUUUAUGUUUUUCUUUUCUUAUAGACGUACAAUUGCAUCAGGUUUUCCAAACUUAUGUUGUAUUCGUAGAUAUUCUUAUACUAGUAUCAACAGGUCGUGGGAUUAUUUUAGAUUUGAUUCUUUUAUUCCACACUUGUGAUUUAAUAGGAACAAUUUAUGAACUGGUUGUCAAAUAUUUAUAUACAAUAUAUGUAUAUUAUAUUUAUAUCCUAUAAAUACUUGUCUUUUAUUUUUACUUUUAAAUAAUAACGUAUAAAUAUUGCACAAAAUUUGAAAUUUUGAUGUUCCAAAAAAAUAAUUAUUUACAUAUAUGUAUGUAGUGUUUACUUGGUGAAUACAACGGGAAAUUAUCCUUUUCAGUGUCAAAUAUGGAUUUUGUGUUUUGGAAAUGAAAAGUUACCAAAAAAGAACAAUAAGAAAUCCUUCUCCACAUCGAGUUAGGAUUCAUCAUUUUAGUAAAGUAUCCAAAAAACAAAAAGUAGAAAAUAAUACAAAAGUUACCAAAAACAAACAAACACAGUUAAACUUAGGAUUGAUGAUAUCUACUAUAAAAAUAGCGCCGGUUGCCCCUCUGUUAUUAUUCACAAAUCAAUAUAUUACAAAUUAGUAUUAGGAAUAAUAGUUAUUAUGGAUCAAUGGAAGAAGCUUCACGUGUUAUUAUUCACAAAUCAAUAUAGUACAAAUUAGUAUUAGGAAUAAUAGUUAUUAUGGAUCAAUGGAAGAAGCUUCACGUUCUUGAUGCUGGAUCUUUUGGAAAAGUAUAUUAUGUCGUCAACAUCCAUCCUUCUUCUUUCUUAUCUGCUUCCGUUGCUGCUGUUAAAUGUGUUGAUAUGCACCGUUCUAUUUCACUCCAACAAGAAGCACAAAUCUUGACAAAUCCUCUCCUUACGUGGUUCAAUUCAUUGGAGCAGACGUUAGCAUCGACAAUGAUAAUAUUCCAACUUACAAUUUGUUUCUUGAAUAUGCAUCUGAUGGAUCACUCCAUGAUUUGAUCAACAAUUACAAGAGAGGAAUGAGAAAGAUGUCAGAAUUGGAAGUAGGUUUCUAUACAUAUCAAAUCUUAAAGGGUAUUCAACACAUACAUAAGAAAGGGUGGGUUCAUUGUCAUGCUAAUGUUUUGGUUUUGGAUAAUGCUGAACGUGGUGGGAUGCACAAGUUGAAGUUGACUGACUUUGGAUUGUCGUUGAGAGUUCCCAAAGGAGUGGCCUAUAUAUAUCUGGAAGUACGUUGAGCAAUCGAGGGACUUUAAUUUACGCUCCUCCAGAAUCUUUGACCAGUGAUUUUCAUGGCAGAGCUUAUGAUAUAUGGUCGCUGGGCUGCACCGUGGCAGAGAUGAUGACUGGGAGUCGUGUUUGGAUUUAUCGCAACACUAGAGAUUUGCAAUCACAGAUUAUGAAUGAAUACCCUAUGAUUUGGGGUAAUGUUUCUGAGAUCGCCAAUGAUUUUUUACACUAGUGUUUGAUUAAGGAUCCUCUAAGAAGAUGGACGUCGGAACAACUACUCCAGCAUUCAUUUAUUCAGCAAGCUAUAUGCACUCAGAUGACUGAAACUCAGCGGAGGACAGCAAGGGUCAAUCCUUUUGGUUGCACAGUUCCAGUACCUGAGAAGCAUUUAUUACUUCAUCAACUAGUUUAAGGAUACAAUGAGAUUGCAAAAUUAAGCACUUAUUGGCUGCUGUUGAUGUAUUAUUAUUUUACAUAACACGAAUUCUGUAUAAUACUACUUGGAUAUUGCAUAUCUUUCUAAUAAAAUAGUGAAACAGUUGCUUGUUCCUAUCUAGAUUAAAUUAUUUUCUGAUUUAACUAAAUUUAGUUAUGCUGGGAAGAAAACGUUGCAAUGUCUAAUGAAACACUUGUAUGAAAAAACUACUCUUAAUGGAAGAACUGGAAAUUAUCACCUAAACAUUACUUAAUCUAAAGAAAGUACAAUGAGUGAUCAUAAAGGAAAAUGCAUGAUAAAAUAGAACUUACUGACGAAAUUAGACGAAAACAAGGCUAAAGGAAAUUUGAAAUGAGAAAACCAAACAUCAUAGAAAUUGCGAAAGUCAUUUUCUGGGGUUGGGUUACAAGAAAUAUUUUUCAAGGAAAACAUCUUCCACCCAAAGGGGGAAAAUGACUACCCUUACUUCCACCUAAACACUUAAAAGACAUUGCAAUCAAUCUUUAAUACUCGAAAAAUUUCAACACUUUCUGUUUGCCACAUUAUAGUUAUCUUAAUAAAUAUACCAUCUCAAAAAAAAGUAAUCUUCUAUAAAUAUUUUUACUUGAAAAGUAGUUUUUAGUCUCCGACCAAAUACCUGAAGAUAUCUUUCACAAGAUGAGUCAUUUUUUCAGAAAAUAGUUUUUGGAAAAUGUUCAGAGUUUUGCCAAACACACGAACAUGAAAAUGGACAACUAAAACCAAGUUGUUUCUCUUAUAAUAACUGCAGUGAAAGAUCCCCAGCAAGCUACGGAUCUCAAUCUUGCAUUGACUUGGUACAUGUAGGAUAAGUUCUCUUUCCCACAAUGGCAGAUCUUUUCCAAUUGCCGCCCGAGAAAGAUUCUUAAUUGUACUGAAGACUGAGAAUCUAAUUAACUCUAGUAUUAAAUUACUUGCUAACAGACUAGUAUAAAGAAGGGUUAAGGCAUCUGCCUGUUAACAACAUCAAAAGUUCUGUAACUUCUACGUACUUAUUAAAUGACCAGCGAGCUUAUACAGGGAGAAAUUAAGCUCCAUAAGACUAGGCAUUUAGCAUGGUGGAUCGAUUCAGCUUUAUGUAAGGAAGAAACAAAAAUAUGGAGGUGAGCUCCAUAAGACUUGUCCAGAUGAAUCAUGAAGCUUUUCCAUAAAUGAAAAGAAAUCCAGUGACAAAGGUCAAAAUAGGUAUUAGAGCUACUAUCUUAUGGGAAGUUUCCAGCGACCCAAUCGACUAAGAGAUGAGAUUUCUGGAUUACCUCAGGUACAUCUCUUCGGUGACUGAUCAUACUUUUUUAGUGUUUGAUGUUAGUAGCCCCAUUUGCUCAGUAAGAUGUUCCAUGUGCUGAACAUUGUACCAUCCAUUUUCUAGCGACUCUGUUUCAGUAGUGUUAAUAUUUUCUAUUUCAACCGAGCCCAUCUCUUCUGACUCAGUAGGGUAUAGGCUUUGAAGAAACUUUUCCCAGGAGGGAUCACCCACACUAGGAGGUUCUCCAAUAUCGUCAAUCAAAGCACUUUCCCACUUGAUUUGAAGGUCGGGGGGGAAAAUAUCAUUUUCCAAUGGCAAUUUUCCAUUUCCCCACAAUGUGGGAUCCAUGAAAGAAUCAUGGCCCCUCUCUGUUCCAUUAAUAUCCAUAUUGUUUUCAGGCACAAUUUCUUGUAACUGCGAGGGCACAGGCAUAAUCAUAUCUGAUGAAAACGGUAAAAUAGGUGGCAAAUCUUGAGCUCCAACCAGGGAACUGCUCUCUGAAAACUGAAUGUUGGCAGACAAUGAACUUUGUCCUGCAAUAGCUGAAGUUGCACUUGCAAAUGGCUGCGAAAAAGCAUGUGAAACUUCCUGAAGAGUGACUCCUGAAAUUCGAUUGUUACUUCUGCCAUCGAAUGCAUCACCAGUCGGUGAACUUUCAGGACUGUUGCUGAAGUUCUCUAACCUAGGAGAAGAAUCUAGUUCCGGUAUCUGCCUGAGCAUUCCUUUCACUGCCUCAUUCAUUAUAGGUUGGUACUUUACAAGCUGUCCAUCAGCAGGGCUAACAGAAUGAUCAUCUGAAGGAAUAUCUUGUCUAAUCCUACGUUUCUUGUUUCCUUCCAUCUUGCGCUUAUUGUUGUCAUUUUGCUGCUGUACAAACUGUGCCAAGAAUCCAGGGCUGUUAACAGCUUUUGCCAGGAAAGACAUCAUCUGUUGCUGCCGCUGCUCCAUAAUCUGAAGGUUCUGCACCAUGGUUUGCAUCUGAUUAUCGGUAGUCUGCUGAUGUUGUCUCAGCUUAACCAACUCCUGCAUAAGCACAUUCUUGUCCCUCUUCAGCCACUCAACCUCUUUCUCAAUCCCAAAAUUUCCAACCUCGACACAAGCCCCAACCGACGCACUCUGACCAUGCAGUUGCUGCUGCUGCUGCUGCUGCUGACUCUGUCCAUGAGCAGGCUUGCGCCUGCUAAUAUUUUUAAGCAGAUGCUUUUGACCUCUUAUGAAUCCAUCAUUAGAAAAUUUCCAGUUGUCCGAACCAACCUUUCUAAAGCCCUGUUUGUAGAACAAGAAAGAGAAAUAUUAAAAAGGAAGCCCAACUAGACGUUCACUAUUAAAGUAUUUCUCUAACAUGUCGUAAUUAGUCAAGUAGGAAAAGAAAAGAAUAUUUCACAAGUGACUUCACAUAAUCACAAUGACUAGCUAAACUUUACCUUAAAAACCCAAAGAAAAUCUACAAAUAAUUAGAGCUUGGUUCAAACUCAAAGUAGCACCUUAUCUCCUAAUCAACUUUUAGGCAGAACGGAAUAGGAAAAUAUCUACAGCCUUAAGAACAAGAUGACAUGAUGAGAUGGAAGCUUAAGAGUAAUGCAAUCUUAGGAUGCAUUUGGAAAGAACACAUCUUAACAACCUCGCUCUUACUAGAAUUGUCUAAUAGCUCCUAUAUAAGGAACCACUUGGUAUUGAGUUUUGAUUAUAAAAACAAUUAGUUUUCUCCCUGCUCGGCUCUUUUUUAACUAGGUAUCAAAGAUAAGGAGGAAAGACAUCCGAGUCUAGGCAAUACACUUGUCGUUGAAGUUAUCUGGCAAGUUAAAGAGGCGGUUCAUUUAUAGUCUAAAAAAAAUUGUUUUAGUCUCAUCAACAAGUCGGUGAAUUAACAUAUUAGGAGCUUCACGUCGAUGAGACUAACAUAGUGACCCAAAGAGCUCACUGUUCUUUGAUGCACGCACCCACAUGUGAUGUGGCUAUCCCUAUCACUCACUGAUUAGUAACUUCACAGGCCACGUGUGCAGAGAUCAUCAUAUGUGUCACGUCAACAUUAUUUCUGCAUUCUCAGUCCACAACAGUAGAACAUGAAUUUGGAUUGAACCUAGCAUGUUGAAUUGCUCUCUCUCCUAUCAACAUCAAAUACUGCCUCCAUUUAGCUGUAUGCAUUGAUAGUAUUAUCAUCACUACAUGGAUAAUUUCACUCACUUCUAGACAGAAGAGUUGCGAUGACUCAAAUACUUUUGGGGAUAUAGAUUACUCAGUCACCUCAAGAAUGGCCAUCUCUCAGAAAAAAAUUUACUCUACAUAUCCUAGAGGGAUUGUAAGCUGAUUGACUACCCAUUUUCAGUUGUAACAUCAUCUUGGAGAAACAAAAAGGGUUACUUUGUCCAAAACUCAUAGCUCAUUUUGAAAUUCUAUCUGAAUAAAAAUAGUUUCAGCUUUUAGAUGAAAUGAUCUCACACACUUGAACAUGGUAGCAGAGCAAACAAAGGUCGUGGGAUCAAGUCUUACCACCACUCAUUGCUUAAAAGAAUUUCCAUGUGCUUGCCCGUGAAAAGAUACAGGAUGUGAGGGCGUGUGUUGAAGAGAUUGGUCAGACACUUCAACACCCACUAAAUAUCUAUCAAUCAAAUAUAUGUUGUGAAAUGACACUUCAACUAAUCAAAGACAAAAAGAAUCCAUAUAAAAUAUUGUCGCUAUCAAUUGAAAGGUUUUCGAUAACAAUCUUCUUUCUACUUAAAUUGAAACAUUUCCGAUCACAAGAUUGACACCAUAAAGUUUAGCAUUUCCAAUCAACCAAAGCACACCCAAAACAUUUCAGCUAAAAAAUUCAAAAGAUGCUAAGCAUAGAACUACGAAUCACCAAAGAACCCAAAACGAGUGAAGUUAAAUCAGAAAAAAAAACUCAACUAAAACCAAGAGAAAUGCAUACAUAAGUGUUCAGCUGACGAACGAAGCUGGAGAAGUUACUGUGCUUGAAAUACUUAGGCAGUAACUCCUUGGCGAGCUCCGGUGGAUCCCAAAUCACAAAGCUGCUGUCGGUAGGACUCCAUGAAACGAUCUUGUCAGUACUCGGGUCAUCAACCAUAUCAUAAGUCUUCAUCAAAAAAGGUGGUAGCGUAUUUGUGCUAGCCAUCGGCGCCGGUGUCGGUUCCGGUACCGGAGAACUUCCUCCGGCGUCCAUUGAAGUAGAACCCAUUGCUAAACGAAGGAAUUAAAUUUUCAAUUGCUUAACACAACGCUGAUCAUAUAAUAAUUUACAAAUACUGAGGGUUUUGGAGAUUUAGAAACGGAAAAUUGGAAGAAGAAAAAUACUAAGUUUUAGAGAGAGAAAGACGAUUGAUUGGGUACGAAAGUGUUGAGAGAAAAUAGUUUGUACGGCGAGGGAAGAAGAAGUGGACAUAUAUAUAUAUAUAUCGGAGGGAAAAGGGAAAGAGAAGUUGGUAUUUCUGGUUUUUUUUUAGAAAGUCUAUAAUUAUAGCCUUGUUGGCGAACAUUUUGGAAGAUUUAAAGUGUAAAAAAAAUAAAAUAGUACUGUAAUUAAAAUUUGAGAUAUUUUGUUAAAUAUUUUUGAGAAAAUAAGUAUUAAAUAGUAUUUCAUUGGUUUCAUUUUUACCGGUUAUUAUAUCUUUUGAGAGUUAUUAAUUUUUUAUGUUAAAUUGAAUCAGAUUAAUUUUUAAAAUUAAAAUUUAGAUAUUUAGAAAUUAUACAAAAAAUAUUAUAAGUUGUAAUUCUUCUUAUAUUAAUAUGACGAAAAAAUAUUUUUAGAUAUUUAUCAAAUUUCAUGUAGUUUGACUCUUGAGAAGCAAAACGUAACAAGUAAAAGUGGUUAGAAGAGUAGAUUUUCCCAAAAGUAUUUUUUUAGAAAAAAGAACAAUUUGAGGAAAUAUUUUUAGCAUCACUUUCUAUUAAUUAAUUCAAUCCGUAAUUAUUAUUCAAAAGUACUUUUGAAAUUGAUUAAUCAAAUACAAUUUAUUUCUCGUCUUGAAAAAAUAUACUUCUCAUAAUAAGUUAAUUUUAGAAAUUUGACCAAACAAAUUAUAUGAUUGUAUUUGGUAUAAAACAAAAUGUUCUUAACAAAAAAAAUAUAUUUUUUAAAAUAAAUAAUUUUGAAUUUAUCCUUUUUCAUUUGAUAAGCACUUUAAAAAGACAAUAUCUACUAACAUGGGUUGUGGUGUACUGAUGGGACUGUUUCACCCUUAACCAGAUGUCUCAGAUUAGAGCACUAAGGGAGUGUCACUCCGGGCCUUGCAAUGUGGAUCCGGAUUUAGUCGGGGCUCAAAUGUGGGCUUCGGACAACGGAUGGAAAACCGAAAAAUAAUUGUAUUGAAAUUUAUCAAUAAUACUCCCUCCAUUCCUAUUUAAUUGUCACCAUUUUAGGUUUCAUGUCCUCAAAAACUAGGUAAAUUUACCAUUAUACAUUUAUUUAGUGUUUUCUUGAAAUCAAGUUUUUAAUAAAUGAACAUAAAUUAAUUUAUUUUGCUUAAUUAAUUUGAUUAAUGAACAUAAAUAAAUUAUUGUAAUUAAUUUUUUUAUAUUAAUAAAAUUUUAUGAAAUAUCAAAUAUUAAAAAACAUUUAUUUUUAAUAAAAACCAUAUAAAUAGAAACAGAGAAAAUGGCAACUAAGAGGUAGGAUGGGAAUGUAUAGGGGUGGUGGAAGUUGGCAGCUUUCAAAAUGAAAAGGAGACAAUGUGCUUGAAUUGCUGAAAUUUUUAAUUUUUUUUUUAUAUCUUCGAUGUGGGUUAUUAUUUUACUAAUUUUUAAAAUUUAUUUUUUUCGAAAAAUAUCUCCCAUUAUAACUAACACAAACUAUUCUAUUUUGUUUUCUUCUUUUUUCUUCAUCCCUUCCUUUUCUUUGUGCAAAAUUCAAUCAAGUUUUAUGAUAAGAAUGUAUUUGCAUCAAAUAUAUAUUAAGCUAUUAAAAUUAAUUUCAACAAUUAAAAAAUUCAAAUAAAGUAUAUAUCAUUCAAUUAUAAUUAAAUGAUUAAUAUAUGUAUAUAUAAAAUACAUAUUUUAUAUUAUUAUUCUAAUGUAAAUACCUUUGUGUAUAAGUAUUUACGAAGUUAUAUUUAUGAGAAAAUAUUAAAAUUUGCUCCUGCACCAUAUAAAGUAUUCAUAUUUUCGUUAUUAGUUGGAAUUGGAAUGUAGUGUCCAUGCCUCUGCUAAACUGGCACAUUUGUCCUCUUUCAUUAUUUUUAAAAAAAAGUGAUUCGCCUGAUUUUAGUCAUCGAAAAGAGUACAUAAAUGAUAAUUUUCCACCGUUGAUCCGUUAACUUCAGACACAUAUUUAGACUUUUUCCCAAAAUACAAAAAGGAAAACACAUUAACUUGAUUUCUUUUACAAACACCUUACAAGUAGUUUGGUAAGUUGUUUUCUAUAAGGCAGGUUUGAUUAUGCAAUAUGAAAUCAUAAUAUAAAAUUAUGAGAUAAAAUUAAAAUUUUAUUUAGACAUGUGAUUUGAACUUUUUUAUGUUGUAUGUUUCCUUAUAAACAUAAAUAUUUUAUAAGUUGUAAAACUAUUAAAAUUGUCUCAAUUCUUUAUAUAAUCUUAUCAAAUUAAGCACAAGUUUAUAAAAUCGCACAAUACACUAUCACAAAGAUAUUCUUAAAAAAUACAAUAUUUAUUGAUCAAGUUUUAAUUCAAUAAAAAAAUAAAAUUAAACAUAAGUUUUGGUGUACUACUCUUUAAUAUAAUCCUCCAAUAUAGUACUGACAAUCUUCUCACGUUGAACUUGCAUUUCUCGUUCAUAUAAUUGAGAAAAUGAACCAACAUUGUUAGUUUAAGCCAUUUGUUGGUCAAUAUGGUUGUUAAAUAUAUUUGAUAAAAAAAAAUGAAUUUGGUGAAUAUAAAUAGUAGGGUAGAGAUUGAUUUGAAGUAAUGAUAAAUUCUAUGUUAGUGAGAAUAAUCAUUAUAUGAGAUCUAAAUGGUUUAAAAAGUAAUGAUAGACUUAUAAAUUUUAUUUACAUGUGAAAUAAAUGGAUAGUAUAUAUAUAUACAUAUAUAUAUCAUCAUACUAUAGAAGUGGUGGUUCCUCAACUACUACCAAACCAAACAAAAAUAGGCCACGUGGGGCUAAUUAAUAUUUCUUUCUUUUAUAUAAUAUUUUCUAUUUCUACUUUCUAUUUCUUUCUAUUAUAUUCUAUUUUCUAUUCUACUUCUAUCUAUUUUAUUAUUAUUUUUUACUUACUUACUAUAUAUAUAUAUAUUAGUAAACCAAUCAAAAAUGGCCACGUGGGCCUAAUUAAUAUUUCUUUCUUUUAUAUAAUAUUUUCUAUUUCUACUUUCUAUUUCUUUCUAUUAUCAUCAUACUAUAUAUCAUACUAUAUAAGUGGUGGUUCCCUUGGACUACCAAGGGUAUUCCCGUCAUUUCCUUCCUUAAAAGAGCUCCUACCAAUACUACCAAACCUAUUAAAAAUGGCCACAUAGGGCUAAUUCUAUAUAAGUGGUGGUUCCCUUGGACUACCAAGGGUAUUCCCGUCAUUUCCUUCCUUAAAAGAGCUCCUCUAAUACUGCCAAACCAAUCAAAACUGGCUAUGUAGGGCUAAUUAAUAUUUCUUUCUUCAUCAUCAUCAUUUUUGCUCUCAAAUACUAUCAAACCAAUCAAAAAUGGCCACGUAGGGCUAAUUAAUAUUUCUUUCUUCAUCAUCAUACUAUAUAAGUGGUGGUUCCCUUGGACUACCAAGGGUAUUCCCGUCAUUUCAUCAUAUCAUACUAUAUAAGUGGUGGUUCCCUUGGACUACCAAGGGUAUUCCCGUCAUUUCCUUCCUUAAAAGAGCUCCUACCAAUACUACCAAACCUAUCAAAAAUGGCCACGUAAGGCUAAUUAAUAUUUCUUUCUUUAUCAUACUAUAUAAGUGGUGGUUCCCUUGGACUUCCAAGGGUAUUCCCAUCAUUUCAUCUAUAUAUAUAUAUAGUAAGUAAAAAAAAAUAAAAAAAUAGAUAGAAGUAGAACAGAAAAUAGAAUAUAAUAGAAAGAAAUAGAAAGUAGAAAUAGAAAAUAUUAUAUAAAAGAAAGAAAUAUUAAUAGAAAGAAAUAGAAAGUAGAAAUAGAAAAUAUUAUAUAAAAGAAAGAAAUAUUAAUAGAAAGAAAUAGAAAGUAGAAAUAGAAAAUAUUAUAUAAAAGAAAGAAAUAUUAAUAGAAAGAAAUAGAAAGUAGAAAUAGAAAAUAUUAUAUAAAAGAAAGAAAUAUUAAUAGAAAGAAAUAGAAAGUAGAAAUAGAAAAUAUUAUAUAAAAGAAAGAAAUAUUAAUAGAAAGAAAUAGAAAGUAGAAAUAGAAAAUAUUAUAUAAAAGAAAGAAAUAUUAAUAGAAAGAAAUAGAAAGUAGAAAUAGAAAAUAUUAUAUAAAAGAAAGAAAUAUUAAUAGAAAGAAAUAGAAAGUAGAAAUAGAAAAUAUUAUAUAAAAGAAAGAAAUAUUAAUAGAAAGAAAUAGAAAGUAGAAAUAGAAAAUAUUAUAUAAAAGAAAGAAAUAUUAAUAGAAAGAAAUAGAAAGUAGAAAUAGAAAAUAUUAUAUAAAAGAAAGAAAUAUUAAUAGAAAGAAAUAGAAAGUAGAAAUAGAAAAUAUUAAGUGGUGGUUCCCUUGGACUACCAAGGGUGUUCCCGUCAUUUCCUUCCUUAAAAGAGCUCCUACCAAUACUACCAAACCUAUCAAAAAUGGCCACGUAAGGCUAAUUAAUAUUUCUUUCUUCAUCAUCAUCAUACUAUAUAAGUGGUGGUUCCCUUGGACUACCAACUUACUAUAUAUCAUCAUCGUCAUACUAUAUAAGUGGUGGUUCCCUUGGACUACCAAGGGUAUUCCCGUCAUUUCAUCAUACUACCCUCAUCUAGUAUAUAUAUAUAUAUGUGGGUUGUUUUUACAAAAUAUAAAUUUGUGGGGUCAAUUUUUGUAUUUGAAAAUUUUCAAAUCGUGUUUUGAAAUUCCCAAAUUAUGAUUUUUGGAGAAUUUGAGAUUUUAUCUCAUGAUAUAAAAUCAUGAGAUGAAAUCAAUAUGAAAUCACAUGUCCAAACAUUGAUCUCAUCUCAUGAUUUCAAAUUGUUUUUGUUCUUCUAUAAAUAAAUAAAACAAUUCAGUUUAUUUGUAUAUUAAUUUAAUAUAUAUAUAUAUUACAAUUUUUUUAGUUAUAUCUCUUAGUAAUUUGAUUUUUAUUAUUAAUAUUUCAUAAAAAGUUAAUGACAAGGCUCUAUUAUUUUAAUCAAAUACUUUAAAAACAUCGAAGAUAUGAAUUUAUACUUAUUGUAUUCCAUAAAAAAAAAACUCAUGAUGAUUAAAUUCAUUUACGCUUAUGAAAUCUAGUAUACUUUAAAAGGUAUAUUAAAAAAAAUUACCUAUAUAUAUAUAUAUAUAUAUAUAUAUGUUUUGAUCUACUCAUAAAGUAGUAAAUCUGAAGUUUAUUUCUCAAAUAGUAAAACUUUUAAUGGGUUUUGUUAUAACAUUUGGUUGUGUUUUGUUAUAUAUAAUGUCUUGAUCCACUACUUUGUUGUGUUUUGUUAUAGGUUUUGUAAAUGAUUUUUAGUUGUUUGAAAUGUAUUUUUCUUAGAAAGCAUAAAAUAUAAUUUAAAUAAUGUCAUUUUUAUAAAAAUAAAUUUAGGGUGAUUUUUUAUUUUUUUUUAUAUAUAUAAUGAUAACAAAGUUUGGAUAUUUUCUAAAUACAACUUUAAAUUGUAUUUCAAAUUUUCAUGAUUAAACUCUUGAUUUUAAAUAAAAUGGAAAUUUUUUUCCAAAAAUAUAAAAAUAAAAAUUCUCAUCACCAAAUAGGUCCUAAAAUUGCAUUAUUUAGACAAAUAAUGAAGUGUAUAGUGCUCUUUGUGAAAAUGUUAGGAUGAUUAUGAGUAUAAACACAAAGAUAAAGGUCUAUUUUGAACAUUUAGGAAAAUAAAAUUUAAUAAUGAAAUCCCCUCCUGCUCUCUCCUUCUUCCGCCAGUGUUCUCCUAGUUCUAAUUUGGCGGGAAAAAGAUGAGCUCGUCGGCGGUUGAGCCGGAAUCUCCCGAUCUAGUGUGCCAGCUUGACAACGUUCAAGGCGUCGUCGAUGCUCUCACUUCCGUUCGCUGGAAACGCCAACAGGUUCCUUCUUCAGCUUCUUUUGCAGAACAAAAUACUCCUUAAAUUCCAAUUGUAUCAAUAAUUUUCUGUUUACUCCGUCACUAACUCAAAAUUUCCACCAGGAUGCAGUUUUAGAGCUAUCGGAACACGGCAUAGUGUUAAUUGUUGAGGAAACCGCUUGUCUUCAGGCCAAAGUUUACUUGCAACGAGAGGUUUUCAAUUUUCUAUUAUAUGAUGUGAAUUUGUAGCCUUCUGAUACUGAAUUAGGUGUUUAUUAUUUUGUGUAGUUAUUUGUUCGGUAUGAAUAUAGCGCAGAAGGGAGGCCGCGUUUUGGAGUGAGCUUAGGGUUAUUUGUUGAUUGUCUGAAUACAUUUUCAGUUCAAGGACAUUCAAGUGCUAUUGAACUACGCUAUCCUGGUCCUGAUAUGCAGCUUCUUCUCAAGUAAUUAUCCUCCAAGCCUCGUUUUCUAUAAUUAGUUUGUCGAAUAGCUUUUGGCACAUCCAUGGUAGUUGUAUGAUUGUUGAAAAUGCUCCAUUGGUUUAUCUAGGGUUGUUUAAUCAAAUGCAUUUUCAAUUGACUAGAUAGAGUACAAUUUGAAAAAUUGACAGGGUGAAUUAAGACCAAAGGACGAAGAAGAGAGAAAAAAUGGCAUCUUUAGUUAUUUGCCGCCCCACUUUCCCAUGUGAGGACAGGGGCAGACCUAACAUUUGAAGUUAAUGGGUGCACCUCUUGAUAUAAUAUGCAUAUUUUUAAAAGUUUCUUUAAAAUUUCUAUAUAUGUUUAUGGUAUUCGAGUAUGAUACAGUGAGCACACUGCUUAUAUGCUGGAUCCACCUUUGGUCUCGAGGUCAUACCAACUUACAUGGCAUUUUAAUUAGCAUAAAUGUGAAUUAGUGAUAGAACAAGUCUUUUUUUUUUCAUUUAUGUGCAUGGCUUUCUAUACAUCUGCCUUUUAUUGAGCGGAAGUCUAGAAAGACCUCAAUAAAGAGAUAAAGUGAAAUGGUAGUUGUCAAUGUUUAAGUAAUUGAGCAGUUUUACCCUUAAAUCAAUGUUGAUGAAUCACAUUCUUUACAAGUUUUGUUAUAUGUGUUAGCCUUCCCUUGACUGAUAGAGGAGUUCUGCAGAAUCUAGGAAGCAAAUCACUUUAUCUUUAGGCACAUAUUUGCUUAUUCUCAAGUCUUCUUUCACUGGAUGGAGCACCAUUGACUAGCUUUAAAGUUUUGUAACUUAUUUUUCUAAUUCCGGGGUUAGGUCUGUUGAAUCUUCAGAUUCUUGUACUUAUGCGGAAAUCAGAACAAGGAUUCCUGAUACAAUAUCAUGGGACUACAAUUUUGAACCUGCUGGAAGUACUCCUCUCAGUUUUACUGUGAAGGUAAAUAUUCGCUUUGGCAGCAGUUAAAGAUAGUAGAUCCAGGUAUAUGUCCGUUGGUGACCACCAGCUCUACAAAACGCAUGUAUCUGUAUGCUUCACAUCUUAUGCUUUCACACUAGACAGGAUGGACUAAAGAUCAUAUAAUUAUCAUAAGUCACUUAGAGGAACUCGCUCUUGUUUCCUAAUAUUUACUGAAAAUUGAAAUUCUGCAAUUGUUCUUUUAUUUAGUCUUGGGAAAUAAAUGCUAUCUAUCAGGUUAGUGAGUAUAUCAGGCUAACUGAGUGAAUCUGGUUGUAGACAGGCUUUCUUUGAUGUUUGUUAUAAAGCUUGGCUUCAGUUUCUUCCUAAGAGCUGAGGAAUAGAAAAGGUCUUAAACAUUUUACUGUCUGGUCUGUAUUCAAGCAAAGUAUAUGUUCUUUCUCCCAGGACUGUACAGUAGGUAUUAUUUCAUCAUUGUUGUACUCUUUUAUCAUUUGAGGAAAGGUCGCAGGGAAACUUCCACAAGGAAACUUGUCAAAUAUCCUAAAAUGUUAAUAUUUCAUCCAUACUUCUGUUUUGUGGUAGAUUGGUUAUUCCAAUACUUUGACAUGGAACUUAUGCCUCUUUUUGUUGCACAAGGAAGAGUUCACUAUAUGUUUUGCAUGCCAUAAAUGGAGUACUUUUGCUGGUUUUGUUUAUUUUAGGCCUUGAGUGCAAGGUUAUUGUAAGCGGUAAAAAAAAAUCACAGACAAAUUCCCUGAUUUUUAUAUGUUGAAAGAUCAAUAUAAAAUGUUCUUUUUGUUGGUAGAGUUAGAAACCAUUAGCUUUCAGAAUUCCCGGCUCAAAACACCAUUACAUUUAGUUGACUGCGGAUGGCCUAGGUAAAAAAUAAAUUUGGAAUGAGAAGUUUUUGCAUGUGUCUAGUAUUUUACUUCUCCAGCAAUCUGAGAUUGUGAACACCUGAACAGGUGGCUACUUUAGUAUCACAAAUUCAGCUUAGUCUGCUAGUGCACUACACACUAUCAAACUAACCCCAUUUCCAGUUCCUUGUUCUAUAGAACUUUAAACUUGAAAUUUAGGUUUAGUAUCUUGACGACAUUUGAUUAGUUGAGUGUGAAUGAGAAAUUAUCUGUCUCCAUAUGGUACGCCUCUUUCAGGAGGCUGCAGCUGGAAAUAUAACCUAAUUUUCUGCUAUUAUAUAUUGUGGACUUUUUGUCCCUGAUACUGACACAAAUGUGUGCUAGCCCAUCAACCAAAUUCUCUGCUAAUGAUGCCCCAGAAGCAGCUGCUUGGGUUCAAAACUGUUGUUUCCUAUUUUAACUAAAUUUGUCAGUGACCCUGGUCAUUUGCAGAAGCUAUCAACAAAUCCAAGGGUAGUGCUCCGUUCUUCUGGUUUCCUCUCCAUAUUCUCUCUUAAGUUUGUUCAAAAAGGAGGGAAAUGGAAAGAAAGGUAGGUUAAUAGCGAGAAGGAAUAAAGAAGAGGAAUUGAAGGAGACCAAUUUUAAUUGUUUAGUUUGGUUCAAGGGGAUUUGAAGAGGGAAGAAAGUUAUAUCCGUUGCCUUCCUCUCGAAGUAAAGUUGUACUCUUCUUCCAUGCUUUUGAAGUUAAACAAGUCACCCCAGAAGUAAAAUUUGUUUUAUUCCUUCUCUUACACUACUUGUGUUUCUAAAUGGGUAAAGCAAAAAUCAAAAAGAAAACUUAGAAGUUUCACUGAUUUUGUCAAUUGUUGGCUUGCUGGUAAUUUCAAGUCCCAUGAGUAGAGCUUAAGCGACCUUUCUGAAGUUCAAAUUUAUGCAAGUGUAAGGUGCAGUGAAUUCAUACGUGAAAUGUAUUUUCUGUCCAUUCUAUGACAAAGUUGUUGGCAAAACGGAUUGUGAUUGGUUGAAGUCUCAUUCCUUUACCAUUGAGCUAAUUAUCACCAUAUCAUUGGUUCAAUUGAUAGUCUGCAGCUCUAAAGGAAGCCAUUGAUGACCUUGAGUGGCCAGGAUCAAGCAUUCAUCUUAUCCUACAGCCUACACCACCAUCGGUUACCUUUAGAGGUGAAGGCCAUGGUGACUUACAGGUACGGCUUGACCUGAUAUUUUAGUAGUAUUCUAUCCUCAUGUUCUCUACCCUCAUCUGUUUUUGCAUUCAUUUUUGCAGAUAGACUUUAUGUGCCAAGCAAACACGGAUCUUCUGGUUGCAUUUCAUUGUGAUCGUGAAGUCUCUCACAGGUUUCUCUCCUGACUGAGUGAAGUAAGAAGCCACAUGCUUUACAUUUGUGCUAGACUAUAUGAUCUGAUCAUGACCUUCACAUGGACAGGUAUAAAUACAAAUUUCUCCGUGCUACAACCUCAAACAUACCCAGCAGUGUCAUUCGGGAUAAUCGAGGAAGUAAACUGACCAUUGGUAGAGGGGGAAUGCUCAAAGUUCAGCAUCUGGUCUCAGUUGCAAAACCAGCAAUACCACACCCGCAUGUUGAUUCUGCCGGCUAUCAGCAACCCAGCCGUAUUGCUUAUAUUGAAUUCUUUGUCAAGCCAGAGGUAGAUGAAGACGAUGCGAAUGAUACAUAGAUGAUAGGAGUCUCUUGCUUAACAAAAUUAGUUGCUAAAUGUUUGUAUUGAAGGGGAGAUUGGCAGGUAGAUUUAAUGUAUAUUGGGGCAAAAAAGUAGGGACCGAAUUAUUUCGGGGAGUUUGAACCCGACGUGAAUCGAACACGCAACCUUCUGAUCUGGAGUCAGACGCGCUACCAUUGCGCCACGGAUCCCUGUUGGUUUAAAAAGCAAUUAAUUUAAUUUAUACCACAUUAGCAUGUUAUGUCAAAUAUAUUAUGUUUAUAACCCAAGUCCCAGCGACUGUCUAAGCCUUAAAAAUUUAUUAAAGUUUAGGAUAUUUAUACUGAUUUAAGGCUAGUUUAUCAUUUUAAAUAGGAUUAUAGUUAGAGCGUACAAAAGGUAUGCACUCUAUAAUUUGAAUCAAGACUUAAAGUUAAUUUUUCAUAGUCACUCAACUAAUAACUUUUAGGAUACAAAAAGUUACGUACUUUGUAGUUUGAAUUGAAACUUUAAGUUAAUUUUUCGGAAAGUAAAUCAAUUUUGUUUUGUAGGACAUAAAAGUCAUUCGACUAAUGGUAUUAUUCUUACAAAGUCGUUCAAUUUUGUUUCGUAACACAAAUUUCACUCAACUAUUAUCAUUUCAUCUAAAAUUUAUUCAACUAAGAUUUGUUAGAAACAAAAAUUGGCCGCAAAUGUGUUUGACCAGGACAUGUCAAAAUUGAUUUGACUUGCAAUUCAGGCACAUUGCUCUUUUAUCCCAGUCAAGAAAGUUGUUCGCUAGGAAAGAAGAUGAAACCUUUUUAAUGAAUUAAGUACUAAUUAACUGGGAACCUUAAUUCUUAAAACAAAUUAAAGUUGUAAUUAUUUGGAAUUAUACAGUUAAUUAAACCUAGGCUUCAAAAUGGGUCAUUAUUUAGAAUUAUAUAGUAUAAAGUUAUGAGUAUUUUAGUAAGGAAUGUUUGAGUGGAUUUUUCUCGCAAGUUUGGUCAAAGUAAUGGCCAAUGGAUGCCUAGUAAGCUCCAAAGUAUUAUGUUUAGAGCUUCACAAAACCAAUUUAACAUCUUCUUUCAUACCAAACAAAUUUUUAAAUCUCUAAAUUUUGUAUCUAAAUCUUGGAUCUUUCUUCUGACUUUGACAAGGCAAGUGCAGAAUAACGUAUUUAUAUUUUUUGUAGAAUUUUGAUAAAGACAAUUCUAUUAGAAUUAGAGAAAUCAGAAAAUCAUGGAUCGAGGGGCGCAUAAAAUGCUUAUAUUUAACUACCGUCUACAAAGAAGUGUAAUUCAUCUGUAUAUACAAAAUAGAUUUUUAUCGACCAAUAUUAAUGAUUUUCUAUGAGAAAUUAUAAAGUUUACUUUUAUUUAUUAUAAAUAUGAUGUUCGGAUUAGCUAGCACAUAUCUGAUAUUUGUUACCUAACUUAUCCAAACAGGCCAUUAAAGUGGCUACUGCCUACUAAACACACAAAAAAACCGAUCAAAAAACAAAAAAAAAUAAAGGGAACGAAAUAUUUCGGGAUUUUUGAACCCGACGUGAAUCGAACACGCAACCUUCUGAUCUGGAGUCAGACGCGCUACCAUUGCGCCACGGAUCCCUGUUGGUUUAAAGCAAUUAUUUAGUAUAUAAUACUUAAUAACUCAGAAGAAAUGUUUGGCGAUGGCAUAAAAUUAGACAGAUCAGCCAAUGAACUUAUUAGGAUAUUUUAUCUUCAACUAUAUAUAUACACUAACACUUUCCGGCGCGAAUCCGAACUUAGUCGGGCUUCAAUGUAGGUAUCGAAAAAACAUAAAUAAUUCUGCAUUUCAUAUUUUUGUUAUGAAGCUAGCUGGGAAUAAGCCAAUCUGCAUGAAAUAUAACUUAGAUCCAUUUUGUUAAUGCGUUCAAAUUAUAGGAAAAACUGUCGGUGCAUCUGAAUAAUAUUAGUACAUAAGAAAAACGUGGAGAGUCGAAAAAAAAUAAUAAUAUAACUUACCUAAUUUGGUGGUAUUUUUUUUUCUUUCUUUCAAGGAGUUCUCUUUGUUUGAUAAAUAUAAAGUGUGGUACACUAUUUAAAAUUCAUCUUCACAUCUGGAUAGAUGCAUCUUCAUUCAAAUAUGUAUAUAAUAAUCCCCAUGGAUUACAGCGCUAUAUUCAAAUAUCCACAUGGGUGAUGAGUUGCAUUAUUGUUCAAGGAUAUAUUAUAAUAAUAAACUUCUUUCUUUUUUUUCAUUCAAGAUUCGAUAUCUAUAUUGAUGUCCGAUUAAAUUCUUAUUCAUAUUGAAAAAUUCCAUAUUAGAGACAAAAUGUUCCUUGACAAAUGUUAAGACGACUCUAUAUCUAAAGAAACUCAAAUUUGAAACUUCAGAUUAAAGAUGGAAGAAUAUCUAAUACUCCACUUCGUUCCUAGUUAGUGGUUGACUUGUUUCAACUUUCAUAUGUUCCCUCCAAGAAACUUCGCUAUUGGAAAGGCUCAUGAAUACCACCACAUGAAUAAACAUUAAAGUGUCAUCUCAAAGUUAAAACUAGCUAGCUAUAAAUAAAUGCCCAACAUAUCCAACAUUUUCACACUAAAAUCAUUCAAAUUCCCAAUGUAUUCCUCUAGAACUAUCUCUUUCAUUUUUGUUUUCUUCUCAUCAUAUCAUCAACUUGUCUAGCUCAGACCAAUUUCCAUCCUAAAACAUUCUUCCUUGCAGUGAAACAAGAUCCUUCUACUCUACAAUACAUCACUCAAAUUCACCAACGAACACCUCUAGUCCCCGUUAAACUCGCAGUCCAUAUUGGUAGCGAAAAUCUAUGGGUGGAUUGCGAAACGGGCUUUAAAAGCUCAACGUACAAGCCCGCUCGUUGCGAUUCAAGGCAAUGCAAUCUCGCAAGAUCAACAGCUUGCGGAGAUUGUGUUACCGAAAAUACAACUCGUCCCGGUUGCAACGACAAUGCGUGCGAGACAACAUUGUGUCCAAUCCGGCUAUGAAUAUUUUCUAUUCUGGUGGUGAAAUCGCGGAGGAUGUUUUGACAAUCCAAUCCAUUAACGGUUCCAUUCCGGGCCCUCAAUCCCGCGGGCCCGUUGUAACUGUCUCGAAUUUUAUCUUCAGCUGUUCUCCAUCAUAUUACACCCAAAAUUUAGGCAAAAAUGUUAAAGGAAUGAUUGGAUUUGGUCAGCAAAGUCCAGUAUCAUUUGUUACUCAACUUGCAUCAGCUUUUAAAUUCAGUAGACAAUUUGCUAUUUGCUUGAGCUCAUCAACUCAACAAAACGGAAUAAUUUUUAUUGGGCAUAGGCCUUAUAUCUUUGCACUUGGCUUUGAUGCAUCGCGAGAUCUAAUCUAUACACCUAUUAUAACCUAUCCGAGUUUUUUUUUCAUCAAUCGCGGUUCACCAGAGUAUUAUAUUCAAGUUACGUCCAUUACAAUUAACGAAAAAACAUUGGCAUUGAACAAAACGUUGCUCUCGUUGGAUGAAAAUGAAGAAAAAGGGACGAAAAUCAGCACGGCCGUUCCUUACACUGUAUUGGAGCCUUCUAUUUACAAUGUUGUGAGAAAAGCUUUUAUUAGUGAAAUGCCGAAAGAUGUGAAGACUGUAGCUGCAGUGCAACCUUUUAAAACUUGUUUUGACUCGACAUAUGUUGGUAUGUCACGUCUUGGAUACAAUGCACCUAAAAUUGAUUUGGUUCUCCAUAAGCCAAAUGUGCGUUGGACUAUUACUGGAGCGAAUUCGUUGGUAAAAGUUAGCGAGCGCGUAGUAUGUUUAGCGUUUGUUGAACGAAAUCAUACGUUUGGACAGGCGAUUAUUAUUGGUGGGUUUCAAAUGCAGGACAAUCUUGUGGAAUUUGAUCUUGCUAGAAGAAGAAUUGGGUUUAGUAAGUCGCUCUUGUUCCGUCAAACUACGUGUUCGAAUUGAAAACUCCAUGAAUGAAGGUUGAUUCUUAGAUCAAUUUACAGAGAGAAUAGAAGAGAAAGAGAAAAUUGUAUUGAAUAUUAUGUACUCUGUUACAUUGAAUCUGUACCACUAUGCCUUUUAUACUUGUACACUAGUUUACAGAUACAAAAAUAUCUAAAACUGUUUUGUAACUAACUAUUGCCAGCUCAGCAUUCUGUUUAGCUGACUGCACUUAUGGUUUAGCUAACUCAACCAUUCAGCUUGUUAACUCUAUGCACUAGUUAACACUCCCCCUCAAGCUUAUGGUUGAAAGGCAUUCUUCAUUCCAAGCUUGCUCAUUAGUAGUCCAUGUUGUGCUUGUCCUAGACUCUUAGUUAGUAGAUCAGCAGGUUGAUGUUUGGUGUUGAUAUGUUCAGUUUGCAGUAUCCCUUGACAAAAUCCUUUCUCUAACAAAGUGACAAUCAAUGUCUAUGUGCUUUGUUCUUUCAUGAAAUAUGGGAUUGGCUGCUAUCUGAAUGGCUGCCUUGCUAUCACAUACCAUCUUGAUAGGAAGUGUUAAACUGACUCCCAGCUCUUUGUAUAGACCUAUUAACCAGGUUACUUCAGCUGCACAUGCAGCCAUGCUUCUAAACUCUGCUUCUGCUGAGCUUCUUGAGACUGUUCCUUGCUUCUUAGACUUCCAAGAGAUUAAACCUCCUCCAAACUUCACUAGAUAGCCUGUAACAGACUUCCUAGUUUCUAGACAUGCACCCCAAUCUGAGUCACAAUAAGCUGUUAGUUGUGUGGUCUGUUCUGCUGGCAUUAAUAAUCCUAGACCAGGAGAUUCCUUGAUAUACCUCACUGCUCUCAAUGCUGCUUCCAUAUGUGAUUGCUUAGGAUUAUGCAUGAAUUGGCUGAGUACUUGAGCAGUAAAUGCAAGGUCUGGCCUGGUCAUAGUUAAGUAGAGAAGCCUGCCUACUAACCUUUGAUACUGUGUGGGAUCAGUGAGUAGCUCAUCACCUUCAGUCUUUGAACCAAGUACCAGUUCAUCAUAUUGCACAGUCGUGAGUUUCUUGUUCAGUUCCAACGGAGUGUGAACUGGUUUAGCUCCCCCUAGGCCAGUUUCAGACACAAGUUCUAAAGCAUACUGCCUUUGUGUCAUUAAUAUUCCCUUACUGGACCUAGAAAACUCAAUUCCUAGGAAGAAUUUUAGCUCCCCAAGAUCCUUCAUCUUGAACCUUUUCUGAAUAUCUUGUUUGGUUCUGCACAACAGUUCAUGACUGCUUCCAGUGAUUAGAAGAUCAUCUACAUACACUAAUAUCACUACCACAGCAUCACCAGCUUGCUUUGUAAAGAGAGAAUAAUCAUAGUGACUUUGUUUAAACCCCAUCUGAACUAGAGCCUCAGUUAGUUUCAUAUUCCAUUGUCUGGGAGCUUGCUUUAAACCAUAUAACGACUUGUGUAGUUUGCAGACCUUUUGACACUCCCCCUGUCUAGCAAACCCAUUAGGAAUCACCAUGUAUACUUCCUCGUGUAAGUCACCAUUGAGAAAGGCAUUGUGGACAUCCAUUUGAUAGAUAAACCAACCCCUAGAGGCAGCAAGAGCCACCACUGAUCGCACAGUUACCAUCUUUGCUACUCGACUAAAGGUUUCCCCAUAAUCCAACCCUUCUUGUUGACUGAAACCUUUAGCUACCAGCCUGGCCUUAAACCUCUCAACCUCUCCUGAAGCGAGAAAUUUAAUUUUAUAAAUCCAUUUGCAGCCUAUGGGCUUCUUGCCAGGUGGUAAGUCAACUAUGCUCCAGGUUUUGUUACUCUCUAGAGCUGCAAUUUCCAACUCCAUAGCUUUGACCCAUGCAGGAUCAGUAGCAGCCUCUUUAAAGGACACUGGUUCAGUAAGAGCUGAGUAGGCUUUCAAGACUUGUCUGUAUGCAGGAGACAAGUGAUCAUAGGAAAUCUGAUUGGCCAGUGAAUAAUUACAAGUAUUGUUCUUAGACUUUGUGACAAAAUCCUGCAACCACAAAGGUGGUUUACUUGAUCUGGCUGAUCUCCUAGAGGGUACACCAGUAGUAGAUGGGAGAGAAACAGGAACCACAGGUUCUGACAUAACUGGUAUAGCAUCAUGUGAAGAUGAACUAGAGCUUAUAGGAGUCAUAUCAGUGGUCUCAGUUUGAGAGGGCAUACAGUCAGAAGCACUGGGAACAUACUCAACCACUGGAAACAUUGGAUUUGUAGAGGCAUGUAGAUGUUUAAAAGGGAAUAUAUCUUCCUGAAAUACCACAUGUCUAUUAACAAAGAAGGAAUGAGCAUGAAUAUCAUAUAAGAUGUAACCCUUUUGUGUGGAGGAGUAACCCAUGAAUACAGCAGGAAUGGCUCUUGAUGAAAACUUAUCAGGUAUUUUAGGACAAGCAGCAUAGCACAAACAACCAAACACCUUCAUAUGAGAUAAAACAGGAGAAUGGAGAUACAAUUUUUCAAAUGAGGACUUAUAGGCCAGCAACUUUGAGGGAAGCCUAUUUAAGAUAUAAACAGCAGUGGUGACACAUUCACCCCAAUACCUCAGAGGUAUAGAUGCCUGAAACCUCAGAGAUCUGGCCAUAGCAAGAAUAGUUCUGUGUUUUCUUUCAGCAAUACCAUUCUGUUGUGGUGUAUACACACAAGUACUCUGAUGUAUAAUGCCCAUUUCACACAUAAGAGUUUGAAAAUCUUUACUGAAAAACUCACACCCAUUGUCAGUCCUGAAUGUUUUGACAGUGGUAGAGAAAACAUUUUGUACUUGAAGAAGAAAGUGUUUGAUUACAACAAUGGUGUCAACUUUAGAAGUAACUAAGAAAAUCCAAGUGUAUCUACUAUAGUCAUCCACAAUAGUAACAAAGAACCUCUUCCCAUUAUGAGUGGGCACUCUGUAAGGACCCCAAAGAUCACAAUGCAAGAGUUCAAAUACAGCCUUGGACUUAUGAGUANNNNNNNNNNNNNNNNNNNNNNNNNNNNNNNNNNNNNNNNNNNNNNNNNNNNNNNNNNNNNNNNNNNNNNNNNNNNNNNNNNNNNNNNNNNNNNNNNNNNAAAUACAGCCUUGGACUUAUGAGUACUUAAAGCAAAAUGAAGUUUAGUCUGCUUGGAUAUAGGACAUACAGUACAAUGAGACUGAUCUUUAUUACUUAAGUAUCUAAGAGACUCAUGCCUCUUUAUUACAUCAAUAGGAGCAUGUCCUAAUCUCUUGUGCCAGAUGUUACUAGAUUCAGUCUUUACAGAAUUAACAUGUGCUCUACUAUCAUUAACCGACAUCUUUGGAGUGCUAGGUGGUCCUUCAUUUUAGUAUGUAAAAGGCCAUGCUCUUCCUUACCAAUCCCCUUCACCUGACCAGUGGAGAGGUCCUGGAAAACACAAAAGUCAGGGAAGAAUCCGACCAUACACUGUAAUUCCUUAGUGAUCUUAGAGACCGAGAGUAAAUUAAACUUGAACUCAGGAAGAAACAGGACAUUUGAUAUAGACUGAUCUUGGAACACUUUAGUGUUGCCAAUAUGAGAUACUGACACAGCUUUACCAUUUGGUAAGUGAACUCUGCUGGCAAUAUGAUCAAAGGCCACCUUAGCUUUGUCAAGUACAUCAAGAUUAGAAGUGAUGUGAUGCGAGGCUCCAGUAUCUAUUAUCCAUUUUCUAUUUGCAUAACUACAAGACAGAGUUGUAGGAGAGCUACCUGUAUCAUCAGCAAUUGCUAUAUUGACAGAUGAUUCAAUGACAGGUUCACCACCAGGUUUUGAGAGUAGUUGAAGAAUUUGAUGAUACUGAUCUUUAGUGAAAAAUGCUCCAUUAGGUGAACCUGCAACAGGUACUGUAUGACUGUUGGAGUUUGUUCUGAUUUCUUGUCCAGGCUCAUUUGGUGCUGCUACCUGAUUUGCAUACACACUAGAUUUCCUCUUAGAUUUGAAAUCUGCAGGAUAGCCAACAAUUCUAUAACAUUGAUCCCUGGAAUGACCUCUGCACCCACAGUGUUCACAUAUGAGAAGAUGUUUCUUAGCCUUGUAUCCACCUCCUGAGUUGCUUGCAUAACCUCCACCUGAAGUACUAGCACCACUAUAUCCCCCACCAGAACCACCAGAUCCACCAGGAAAAGGACCUUUAGAAGUUCUUGCACCACUUGUAUAGGUGUUACUUUUAUGAGAAUAUAAUGUUGUACCUUCAAUGAGCCCUGAGAUCGUGGAAACAGAACUUGCCAGAGUCCUCUGACUCUCUUGAUCAAUGAGCAAAGCAUAAGCCUUGUUAAGAGUAGGAAUAGGGCUCAUCAUAAGUAUUUGGCUCCUAGGAGGGGAGUAGGACUCAUUCAGUCCCAUUAAGAACUGCAAUAGCCUUUGAUAAUCACAAUGCUCACCAAAUUUCUUUGACUCAGGACAAGGACAACUAGGACACGGCAUAAGAGAAUCAUAUUCAUCCCAUAGGUCUCUUAACCUAGAGUGAUAUUCAGCAAUAGACAUAGUACCCUGAACUAAUGUAUGAAUCUCUCUAUGCAACUGAAAGAUUCUCGAUCCAUUAACUGUAUCAAACCUUUCUCUUAGAUCCAGCCAGACUUUGCGUGCAUCAGAUGCAUACACAACAGAACUCAGAAGUCCUGGCCUUACUGCAUUCAUAAUCCAACUUAACACUACUGCAUUACACUUCUCCCACUGAUCAUGCAAUAAUGGUUCAAACAUAGAUUUGGGAAACCUUCCAUCUACAAAACCUAACUUGCUUUUCCCAACUAAACCAAUCCUAAACGACCUACUCCACAGAGCAUAGUUCUCUGAACCUGUUAACUGAAGUGAGAUUAGAGAACUACCUGGAGUGUCUGUGUGUUGAAGAAAUAGUGGAUGAUUGUGAUCAAUCACUGGAAAUGUGACUGGGCUCGUAACUCCAUUUCCAAAUCCAGUACUAGUACCUUCAGUUGUAGUUCCAUUCGUCAUUUGAGCUAGCUUGACUUUUGAUGCUUCCUUUCAAUUCACCUUUAACAUAUGGUGAAUCUGAGCACCUGAUAGUUGCUGCUAUGAACUCAGAAUCCAGAUCGAUAGCUUUGAUACCAUGAAAACUCCAUGAAUGAAGGUUGAUUCUUAGAUCAAUUUACAGAGAGAAUAGAAGAGAAAGAGAAAUUGUAUUGAAUAUUAUGUACUCUGUUACAUUGAAUCUGUACCACUAUGCCUUUUAUACUUGUACACUAGUUUACAGAUACAAAAAUAUCUAAAACUGUUUUGUAACUAACUAUUGCCAGCUCAGCAUUCUGUUUAGCUGACUGCACUUAUGGUUUUAGCUAACUCAACCAUUCAGCUUGUUAACUCUAUGCACUAGUUAACACGAAUCAAUUUUAUACUAUGGGAAAUUAAGGGGUCGUUUUCUUUAUUUUUGAAAUUUCUUGUUCAAUAAACUUCAUGUUUGAUGAUCUUUCAAAUCUUGAUCUAGUGGAUUUAGUGUGUGUGCUAUGUGAAGCUGACUAACAUCUUCAUAUUCUUAUCAAAGAAAGUUGUACUCACUCUUGUCUCAAAUCACCUAUCAUGUUUUUCUUUUACACGUCUCUUAAGAAAACAUUAAUUAUCAUGAA
rnacentral:lncRNA from 1 species